rnacentral:lncRNA from 1 species
GGCUCGAUGUCAGUGAUGUGAGCAACCAACUUAUCUUUCAAUGGUUGACGAAGAUCAAUGAGUACACGAGCCCGAAUAUAAUUAGGCCGGACUAAGCGAGAGUUCGGGAUUACAGGUAGCACCUCACCAAGCUCCUCUGCCAAUUUGAGAGUGAUGUUAGGUAGAAGAAGAUCUGGAGGUAAUCCAUGAAACUGCACCACAUUGGUGUAUAAUGCAACUUGUACUUCUCUAACUGAGUAAACAUUCGGAAUCGCUCCAACACUAAGAUAGAUCCAUUAUAGCACCAUGGGGAAGCAUUCCAAACAGCCAAAAGGUCUGCCUCCGAUCCAAAACUGAUGAAUAAUAUGCCAGUCCUAGCCUCUCGAAUAUCAAAAGACUUGACGAAGGACCAAACCCGACGAAGGACACUAAGGAGCCCCCUCAAUGGCGGGUGAACAUCUGCAAGAAGUUUCGCCACAAAGCAGUGCCGAAAAAAAGGGUCCGGUGUAUCGUCCUCCAACCGGAGAGUUACCUUCGCCGUAGGUGGCGUAGAUUAAAGCCCACGAAAAUUUUCCAAUAAAUCCUCUUCCAUAGCAAGAGUGGAAAAGCAAUGUAUGGAGGAGAGUUCUUAUUGGACAAUGAAUCAAAUGGGACAAGGUGGUAAAUUAUUAGGUGAAGAGAAAGGAAGACGAAGGGAGUAGGGGAAAAGAGUUGAUGGUCCCUGGUAUGCUAACAGGCAAUACAAGCGUCAUAUAAAAGUUUUGAUUUUUUUUUUCUAUUACCACAAAUUAGUCUUAUACAAUGUAAAACUUCAUAUCUACUUAAUUUAAUCUAAAAUCAGUAUUUUAUAAUUUAGUAUAAUACUAAAAUAAUAACAUAUUUAUAUUUUUCUAUAUAAUAAAAUAAAAAUAAUAAUUUUAUAUUUAUUAUAUCAUACUGAUAUCACUAGUUGAACUAGUAAUGCUUGAUCAAGUAGCAUUUUCGAGUCGCCAUCCAUUCGACCAUAUUUUUAAAACAUUAGACUUUGAUGAGCCAAAAGGAUAAGAAAAAAUUUCAAAUACCACCCCUAUGAUUUCGUACCUUUUCACCUUAGUAUCCUAUGGUUUAAAAUGUAUCACUUUUAUACCCUGUGGUUUUAUUUUUCUCUUUUUUUUAUCCCUUUUUACUAAUUUUUUCGUUAAAUCAGUAACAAAAUUAAAAUUAAAAGAGUGAAUAUUGGAUAAACUAUAGGUGGGGUAUCUAAAGUUUUUGCAUGUGAUGUAAUAAAAAGUUAACGGAGAGGCCGACAAAAAGAGAAAAAUAAAAUUACAGAAUACUAAAUUAAUAUAUUUUAAAUCACACGGUACUAAAAUGAGAUGCGAAACCACGAGGAUGGUACUUGAAGUUUACCCAAAAAAAAAAAAAAAAAAAAAAAAAAAAAAAAAAAAAGGCAGGGGCAAGCUCAGUAAUAUAGGCGAAAAGCAGGGGCAAUAAUUCCCGAAAUGUUGAAACACACCAGCUGGAAACUAGCCGUUAUGCGCUUACCAUUUCCACAUCCUCCACCUCCCACUCCUCCCACUUCUCCUCCUCCCUUCCCUUUCCCAAACAACUAGCCGUUAUACUCAACCCUAACCCUACUCUUUCCCCUCCACCACUCCUCCCCCCACGUUUCCCACAUCUCCCACCUCUCUCUCUCUCUCUCUCUCUCUCUCUCUCUCUCUCUCAGCUCGAGAGCUCUUUAAAACCCUAGUCUCUCUCUCUGUCUCUCUCUCUCUCUCUCUUGCUCCCCCCAUCAAGAACGGCGAUUGAUCUGUUUGAUUCCUUCUCUGCUUGUGAUCUUUGUGUUCGAAGAUGUUUACGGAAGGAUUAGAUGAGAAGGCGAUCAAUUGGGUCAAACAGGUGAGUGAAACCCUAGGUUAAUGUAGAAAAAUCAGAACAAAAAGUCCAAUUUUGUGAAUUAUGAAUCUUUUCUUGAUGCUCUUGCUGGGCCUCUUUGCUGUUUUGAGCAGGUGAGUGAAAUUUUAAGUUAAUGUAGGACAAUUGGAGCAAAAUGGUCGAUUUUUUGUGAAUUAUGAGUCUUUUCUUGAUGCUCUCAACUCGGUUUUUUUUUAAUGCUUGGAGCAGGGUGAGCUAAACCCUAAGUUCUUUUCAAAAAAUUUGGAGCUAAAAAGCCGAUUUUUUUUUUUUUUUUUGAAUUAUGAAUCUUUUCUUGAUGCUUGCAACUGAGUAUUAUUUUUAUUUUUCAAAGAGGUGAGUUCUUGGUGUUUGAUUGAUAUUUUGAACUGGGUUUUUUUUUUUAUUUUUGAACUUUUUUUUUGGUUAAAUAAUGUUUUUUUUGUUCAUUUGACUAUUAGUUUACUAAAUUCACAUGCUAUGAAUCUUAAUCUUGAGCUAGAGAGUGGUUAAUUUUGCCAAGUGGGAAGUAUUAAAAAAACUAACUUUUUUUUUUUUCCUACUAUAUAAUAUUAGAAUAUUUAUUUUGUUAGUUGUACCUUUCAGCAGUAAAAACUAUCCAUUUCAAAUGCUUCUUAAUUAGUCUCAUUUUAAUACAUUUGAAAACUUGAAACUUAGUUGUUUAAACUACACAUUGUUUUCCUCAGCAGUGAAAACUACACAUUGUUUUCUUCAGCAACUUGAAACUUAGAUGUUUAAUAUAUUCUCCUGAAAACUUUAUAAAUUAUAUAUAGCAGGACUCAACUGAAUUUAAGGGAAAAAAACUUAAUUUUUCUAAUUCUUAAAAUGAACCAUAAACUUCCUAUGUUUAGUAAUCAUCUGGAUAGUAGUACUCCAUUUCGAAUGCUCCUUGAUUACAUCUCGUAACUAGCUGUUCAACUACUUCUUCCCGUCAAACUUCUUGUAGAGCCACUACACAAAUUGAGUUGGUUAAUAGACUCUUCUUCUAAAAUUUUCAUUGACUUUUGCAGGGUUCGGAUAUCGAAUCACAGCCUCGUUCUCCCCUGAUCGAGAAAUAUCCUCUCGACGCAACCUCGAACCACUCCUUAUUGUACAAACCAAAUUCAUUCCUCUCACCAAAAGUUCUUCCACCUGUGAAAUUCCAUUCGAAUUUGCUCGCCCCACGUUCAAACAUUCUUAUCGAUUCAGAGGGAGAAGAGAGCGUAGCUUCUGUCCCAGAAGACUACUAUGCGAAUUAUUCUGAUAAUACAUUUGAGGAGGAAGGGUUAGACUCUAGUGAAAAUUCUGAUCUUUUUGAGAAGGGGAAGAAUAAGAGUAGCGAGGAAGAUGUUGUAUCUUAUACGAGUUUGAGCCAUGAUUCGGUUCGACAACCGGAGGAGACACAAAGAAAUGGGUUGGUUCGUGGCGCCUCAAAGGAAAAUCUCAGGGUUGAAGUCGUUGGAAAUUCACAUGUAUGUAUCACUUAACAUUACUAGAAAUUGUCUUUCAUAUCUUCUUUUGUGAACUGAACCAAUUAACAUUGCUGGGAUAGUGGGACGUUUUCAACUACAGCCCUUGAAAAUUAUCUGUUCACAUGUAUUUGUCCAUGAAAAAUCUGAAUUUUCGCUUGAAACCUUCAAAAACUUACUUCCUAACUUAUGUGGCUUUGUACAUAAAAAAUUGCCCCUCCUCAAACCAACUUUUCUCAUAAAAUUUUUAAGAAACUACACUUCUUAAAGCGGUACAUGUGAAAAUGCAUGCUUAUUAGGGUAUAUAUGUAAGAAUAUGGUUUUGUGGGGAUAUGUCAAGUUGUCAACUUCUAUGAUCCACAUUGGGAAGUUUUAUUCCUAAUGGUUUGAUGAAUAGUAGCCUUCAAAAAUUUCAGGCUGAUCUGUUUAAUGAGUAUAUUUCUCGGAAUGCUCAUGACUUGGGAACACCAAGUGCACCUCCUAUCAUGGGAAGUGGAAGAACGGAAAUUAGCAUGGAUGUCGAGUGUAAGUAUCAAUAUGCAUAUGGUCUUUCAUGAAGGAGGCGAAGAAACAAAACUAACAAUUUGAUCUCUUUAAGCAGCUGAAACAAAAGUUGAAUUCGAAAAAACUGAGGCCACAUUGGAAUUUCAAAUGCAAUCUCAAGAGCUUGAUGAGAUUCAUCUGAGGUAUAUAUUUUGACUUCUUCUUUUGACAAUUCUUUAUAUUUAUUAUUAUGUGAACUAGGAAAUCUUUCAUAAUUGCUGAUUUUUAUUGACCUUGUUUAGAAGUGGAGUUAAAUCCAUUGCUGAAGAUGCAGAUUUAUCAACUAAGAUACCAAGCUUCACAACCAGGUGUGUGUUUGAUGUUAAUACUUCAAACCAAUCUACUCUGUUUGUAAAAUUUUUGGAGAACCCGGACCUAAUUAAGACCUUUACUUAUCUUUUUCCUGUGUUAAUUGGAACAGUGUUCAGAAUGCAUGGCAAACAUUUAUUGCAUAUGAUGCAUGUUUUCGUCUUUGCCUUAACGCUUGGGCAAGAAACUGCAUGGAGGCUCCAGAAUUCCUUCGUGAUGAAUGCAUGGUUCUUCGUAGUGCCUUCGGGUAAGUACAAAUGUAGUAACUAGGCAUUUGGUAAUCAAAAAGAUGUUAGAGUUUUUGCUAUGUCAGGAGCUGAAAUGAGCUUUUAAACCUUGAAAAAAGAAAGCCCAUUUUGAAGCUUCCACUUUUGCUUUUUUUUUUUUUUUAAAUUGUUGAUGCUUUUUCGAGCAACUUUUCAACAGUUCGUUUGCAGAAAGCUCUAGCCACGCCAAUAUUGCUCUAAGUAUUUCAGUGAUUCUCAUUGGUGAUUGUCUCAUUAUUGAACAGAAUUCAAAAGUUUCUACUGCAGUCUAGAGGUCAUACUCAAUCAGAUGGAAAGAAUGCCUAUGACAAAGAAGGGGCUUGCACUACAAAGGGUAGAAAAGUUGUUAAACAGAUUGAGAUUGAAGGUUAAGAGUUUAUUAAACAUACUGAUAUAUAUUUUGGUGCCACUUAUGAAUACUAUCACUUGUUUAUUUUCGUAUCGAUAUAAAAUGCUUAAAACAUCUGAAAGUCUUACAUUUUUUAUACUGAAGAAUGCUCCUCUCCCAUUGGGCAUGUAGUAAUGCUUUAUUGUUCUUUGGAAACGAAGCAUAUUACGAAGUGCUGGAAUUUCUUGUUCCAAGUUGUUUAAUUUGUGCUCAUUCUUUAAAAGUUUAUUGUAUGUGCAUAUAAAUGCUGCUCGACCUUAACUGAGCUCUUGAAAUGGCAAAAUUGCCAUCAUUUUGCAUCAAUCACUCAUUUUAAACAAAAAAUCAACUGUUAGGUGCCAAACAUGCCACAUUUAAAAGGUAUUGAGGCAAACUUACAUAGGGUUGUAAUCUAAUGGUAUAUGUGCUAUAUCUAUUUAACUUAGGAGGAACACACAAGUACAUGAACUCCAAGAGGUAUAUAUCUACAAAGAUUCAAUUCAUUUUUGUGUUUUAAAACUUCAGCUUCCUCUCUGUCUGUAACAGUGAAAAAAAUACGCAUCAUACCUCAAAAGCCGAAACUUCGGACCACUUCAUCUUUUAUCAGAUCAGAUUAUAUCCAAGUGGGUUCUGAAUAUGUCAAACAUGUAUCGAAAGUGUUAAAGAAUCACCUCAACAUGCUGACAUCACCUUCUUCUGUUCGAGUUUCUUCAGAAGGUUAAGUUAGAGAACCAUACCAACUGUAAGUUUCAUUUUGUUUAUUCUACUUCCACUAACAUCUCUACUGCUCCCAUAAGCAGAAGCUCUCACGUGCUUUUUGGAAUUGAAAAGCUCCUCAUGCAAAGAUGCACCUGACUCUAGUUCCCCUGUGUACUUGAAACCAGGAACUGGUGAUUCUCAUUUUUUGUAAGUUCAGCAUAAGAAAUUUUUACAUGGUUGAUCUGCUUGGGAAUAUUUCCAAAUAAAUCGAUAUGAGAUUUAGAGAUUCACAUAACUGCAUAUACAACUGAAGAUAUUUCUAUUUACUUGUAAAUAUCUAUACAAAAUCUGAAAUUUUUUUGUUUGCCAUCAAAAUCUUAUGUCUUACACAUAAAUGAACUUGAACUAAGAUGCACUUAUCCAAAAUUAAAAAUUCCGACACAGCUUGAAACUAAGAAGUUGGCUUUGUAAGAAACUUCACUUCAGAGGGUGUAUAUGAUAACACAGAUUUAAAAGGGGUAUCUAUGUAAUGAGAUGAUUUUGCAAGUUCUUAUAUGUAAAAGCCCCUUUCAAGUCCCUAACCAAAAACUAUACACAUUAUUAACAUUUAUUUUUCACUAGUAAAUUUCAUCUUUUGAGAUAACUUGUUUGAAUAAACUAGCUAACAAUGACAUCCCUUUUCAGUUACAUUGAGAGUCAAGCAGAUGCAAUUUUGGUGGAAGUUCAAGAUAGCAAUAGGGCCAUUCUCGGUCGCGCCACAAUUCAAGUUUCAUCCUUUGGUGAUUGUCAUGUAUGUAUUACUUUUUGUAUUUGUCAAGAUAACAUUCAGAAACAAAAGUGCAUUUUGAAAUAUUUUGAAAAUUGAAACCAGGGGCAAAUUAUAAGGUGGUUUCCUAUAUACCCUGACAACAAUGGGUGCAUUGGGAAGCUUCAGCUCUCCAUCAGCAUAUCUAUCUCUCCAGACAAUUCAGGCUCUACUGAGGUCAUUUAGCAUAUUUAGUAACAUGAUUUUUUUCAAAAAGAAUCAUAUAUAUAUUGAAACCUUUGCACUUGUGCAUUAUUCAAUUGUUUUUUUCUUCCUUUAUAAAGAUGUUGCAGGGUGGUCCAGCUGUGGAAACACUCAUAUAUGAUCUGGUUCUUGAGGCUGCGAUGAGAGCCCAGAACUUUAACUCAAAAAAGUUGCACAUUGUUGGCAUAUGGAAUUGGCUUUUGAACGAAUUUGCUGAUUAUUAUGGAGUAUCCGAUGCAUAUAGAAAAUUGAGGUAAUUUAACUUGAAAAGGUUGCACAUUGUUGGCUUAUGGAUAGGCUUUCGAAUGAAUUUGCUGAGGGGUUUUUGAGGGAUUAGGCUUGUAGAAUAUUUUAAUUCUAUGAAUAGGCAUUUGACAUUUUUAUUUGUAAAACUAGACCCAAGCGGUGAAUGAUUUACCACAUUUAGAUUCACCACUUUCUAAAAGCAGUAAAUCAUUUACCGCUUUUACCAAACUUAUAUAUUUUCUAGAUCCGAACUUUGAAAGAUGUACCGUAUUAGACCCUAAAAACAAUUCUAAUGCUUUGAAGAAAGCGGUGAAUGAUUUACCUCAUUUAAAAAGCAGUGAUCCAUACACUAGAUAAGCCUAAUUUUGUAAAUAAUUUUUGUGAAAGACUAUUUUUAUAGUUAUAAUAUUUUUUACGUCUAUUAAUAAAAAAAAUUAAUUUGUUGAUUAUUAUGGGAUAUCAUGCCUAUAGAAAACUGAGGUAAUUUAACAUUGAGAUAGUUAGAAAAUAGAAAAGAAACAUACCCAUAUAACCCAUAUAAACUAUCUAUUUGCUUUUUUACCCUGCAAAAUCUGAAUUUUCUUUUGUCAAUCAGAAAUUCGUUCUUGAUGCAUACCCCUUGUACUUACAAAAUGAAAAAUUACAAACACAGGUCCAAUUUUUUCUCAUCAAUUGGAUGAAUACUCAACUUUAGAUAGAGUAUUUCUUCAAGAAUAUGUACAUUCAUGGGGAAUGGAAAUUCAAAGACCUCUUGGACGUACAUGUAAAUAUAUAAACUUAAAUAUUAUUAAUAUGUAAACUUAUGGAGAUCUCUCAACUAUCCCCACGACGUUUUAGUUUCUUGACUGAGACCCGCCGACUAUGUUUUUUAGAGUUUUUUUUUUCACUGAGUUGCAUUAUAAUUAUCAAAUUUGCUGACUCUAUUAGUUACUACUCGUCAAUUGGUUUACUUUUAUUUUCUAAAAAAUGAUGAAAUCAACAAUGAAUUAAUAAGCUAACCCAUUAUCUUGAAUAAAAUCAUUUAAUUUUAAAACCAAAAGUUAAAAGGGUCUCAAUCAAAAAACAGAAAGUUGAGGGGGCCAUUUCAAAAAGGUAUAUAGUUGAGGGGAGGCUCCAUACAUCUUUACCUUCCUAAUGUUAUUUCUCCGAACGCGUUUAUGUAGAUAUGGUGGAAGUUAAAAUAGGAAAUCAUGACAUUGUGUAGUUUUAGUGACUCUCUCCUUUUUGUCUCUCUAGGUACCUUUCAAAUAUUAUGAAUGUCGCAACACCCACAAAGGAUUGUCUACAGCUUAUAUAUGAUUUGUUAUUGCCCAUUACAAAAGCAAGGGGUGAUAAAAGUCUAACUAGGCAAGAGGUAUUCCUAUUUACUCCUCUCAAAUUGCAACCAUUGAAACCUUAUGUUCUGAUUUUAAAAAGUGAGGAAUAUUUUAGUAGUAGUGUAACAAGUGGAUGAUGAUGGAAACUCUGAAACCAUUGAUCCAACUAACAAAGAAUAAAAUAUUGAUUCAAUUUUCUUCAAAGACACAUAUAGAACUGUUAUCAAAACGUCCUACUAUGAAGUGUUGAUCUGAUCUUAUAAUUAGUUUUGUAUCAGUGAUUAUGUAAUCUUAUAUGCUACAGACAUAUUACUUUUUGAUUUUGUUUACGCGAGCAUUUUAUGAUCCUCUUAGAAGAACAUGUUAUUUGAACUUAUAUCGUUUAUUUCUUUUUUACUUAUUCUGUUUCUUUUCUACAGAGAAGCAUACUGCUAGAUUGUGAAGAACAAAUAAAGAAACUACUAGCAACUACUUUUGAGAACUACAAGUCGCUAGAUGAGCUUUCUCCAACUGGUCUAACCAAUUUAUUUGGCCCAAUUCCUGAAUCAGCCGCACCGGCUUUAUCUCCAGCUGUACAAAUAUUUAACCUUCUAUAUGAUAUACUCUCCCUCGAACACCAAAAAAUACUAAGAAAUUAUUUGCAGGUUGGUCCUCAAAAAUUUGUAAUAUUCUGAAUAUUUCUUUGUUGAAGUAAUGCAUGCAAAUACUAAGACCUUGUUUGGUUAUGCUUAUGCUAUCUUUGCUUUCUUGAAGUCAAUUUUACAUGAUUAAAUGUGCAUGCUAGCAUUAUUUGCAAUCAUUAUACAUCCUGUGGGAUUUAUCUGGCAAAAGAAUAAAAAAGUACACAAAGAUCAGCAUUAUUACUUGUCCUUUCAUUUUUGUUUUUACUUUCUUUUGGAAGGAUGAUUUUUCAUCCUAGUCAACAAUGAAAAGAGUAGAGAAUUGCAUCUUCUGCUGCAUUAGAUUUUGCAGUAUUGGAGAUAUCAGAACACAAAAAUGAAGCAUAGCCUAACAAGGUCUAUAAAGCUGCAUUUCUUUGGGAAAAAUAUAAAAAGGGUAAAUUAAGCAACAUAAUAAUUUUCUGUUUGUCUACAGAAUGCUGCAGCAAAGAGGUGCAGGCGGCACAUGAUCGAGACCGACGAAUUCAUGUUGAGCAAUGCAGAUGGCCUUUUUACAGACCCGAUGACAAUAUCUGCAGCAUAUCUCAAAAUGAAGACAUUAUGUAGAAACAUAAGCAAUGAGAUUCAGGCAGAUAUUAAGAUUCAUAAUCAGCAUAUACUUCCAAGGUAUUUUUUUUCUCAUAAUCCGCACGUAUAAUAGGCUAUAAUGUUUGAAAACACACCAUAUUAAACAACUGUUUGUCUAAUGGCUGUUUUAAUUCUUUUGGAGACUCUGAAUUUGAAUCCACUAGGCUGAUAGUCCUAUUUAAUUUCCUUAUAUUUAAUUCAAGUUCAUAUGUUGGGCCUAUAAAAAGGUCUCGAGCCUAGACAUGAGGGAAUUUUUGAAUACUAAGUAGUAAAAAAACCACCACUCUUUAGCAGCUUAAGAGCUUUUAACAUUUAUAGUAUCUUGGUUUUCACAAUGUCCCUGCGAAAUGUAAGAGCCUACAUAUUAUCUCCUUGACCUAUGAAUGAAGCGCUAUGCAUCCCCUCAGUGGGGGUAUAUAGUGGGUAAAAUGCAUGAUAUUCCCUGUACUAUCCUGAUAUUGCCACUUUGUCCCCACUUUUGUUAUCGAACAUUUUUAUGUAUUACAAUUGCAUUGUUGAAUGUAAAAGCCAGUCUAAUUUCUCAUUUAAAAUGAUCAGUUUAUUCCCUAUCCUGUGAAUUAUUUCAGUUCACUUCAAACUGUUAUUAAUUAGACAUUUUUACAUUAGACGGAUGUUGGAUAUUCUCUUUUUUUUCUCCCCCUCCUGCCUGCGAUGAAAUUGCAAAAUUUUGUGAUAGUUCGAGGCGUCAAGUGUUAAGCCAAAAGUUUAGGUACCAGGUUGCAGUAUUGGAAUAGUACAGGGGAUAACUCUGCAUGGACCAAUAUGAGUGGCAAUAUUUCAGGACAGAAAAGUGAAAUCUUGAUAUUUGUGGUGUGGUUUCCGACAUUUUAGCAUAUCAGCUGCCAUCCACUAUGAUGACCAAAAUUUUCAGUUUUAUAAUCUAAUCCUUUUUCUUUUUUUUUUUCCUUUUUUUUUUUCCUUUAGCUCUAUAGAUUUGCCAAAUAUAUCAGCUUCCCUUUAUAGCACUGAACUCUGCAAAAGGCUUCGAGGCUUUCUUUCAGCUUGCCCCCCUUCAAGACCCCUACCAUAUGUGGCAGAACUGCUUAUUGCAACCGCAGAUUUUGAAAGAAACCUUGAUUCAUGGAAUAUAAGGUAAGAAAAAAAAUAUUUCAACUUCUCCUGAUUUUAUAAUAAUUAAUUUGCUAGUGGUUGAUUCAUUUUUUAUGUGCUCCUAUUGUUUUUAUGAUUAUGUAUUCUUUUUGGUCAAUGUGAUUUAUUUCUAUCUUCAAACAGGCCUGUUCAUGGAGGGGUAGUUUCAAGGGAAUUGUUCCAUAAUUACAUCAUGGUUUGGGUUCAAGAUACCAGGCUGCAUUUGCUUGAUCUUUGCAAGGCUGAGAAGGUUCUCUCUCUCUCUCUCUCUCUCGCGCGCGCGCGCUCGCACACGUGCAUAAAUUUAUGCAUGUACAUUCAUCGCUAAACUUAUUACAACAUUCUGCUUAGUUCAAUCCUGUCCUUUUUGUCAAACUUAAUUUAAUUUCCCUAACGAAAGGACUAUGUGAUUACUGAUUCAGCUACCACAUCAUCUCAAGAGAUGAUAUGGUAGUAAUGUGAAACUUAAAUCAUCUGAACAUGUCAUCUCUUAUUAAAAGAGUUUGACGGAUGGGCUCAAUUGAAACGGAAAUUUGGCGCAUGAAUUCCAAUAAAUUGAAGUGAGGUUACAUGAGUGAAAUUUAGCAAGAAGUCGAGUAAAAUUGUAGUUUACCUGACAUAUAAUGAAACAUGUUAUCUUUCUCACACACCAAUAUUUCUGUAUAACAUAGCAAUUUCUGAGACAAUAAAGACAAUCCGAUCUGGUUUUCAUUUAGUUAUGAUGAUUUUUUUUUCUUUUAUUUACUCUAACUUGCUAUCAUUCUUGUAGCUUCAGUGCUCGGAAGUAUCCACACGUUGUUCAACGUCACCAUUUGUCGAGCGUAUGUAUGAUGAAAUAAAAGAAAGCAUAAAUGAGUACGAGGUGGUCAUCAAUAGAUGGCCUUCAUAUUUGUUGAGCUUGGAAAGUGUAAGCAAAUCAAUAUCGCCUUUUCUCAUUACUCCGGACAAUAAUGUUUCUUUUAGAAUAUUGAACAAUUUUUUUGUUUCUUUCAUUUAGGCUGUUGCUGAUGUUGAAAGGGCACUAGUAAAGACACUAGAGAAGCAAUACAGCGAAAGUUUACUGCCUUUGAGGGAUGGAAUUCCAAAAAUGCUUGAAAAACAGGUCCAAAAAUUCACUAGAAGGCAAUCUACGUUGACCUACGCUGUGCCGAAUCAAGUAACGACCUUAUCAUAUCUCAGUUUUGUUUGCAUAUUUGAAUCCCAUUGCAAUCCCUUUACACUGUGCAUGCUCUUGUAAAAUCUGAAUUUCGACAUACACCCUCAAAAGUGGAGUUUUCUGACAAAAGAACCUUUAAGCUGGGUAGUCAUCCAAUUUAUGGAAGUCAGUUUUGUGAUAGAAGAAGUUUUUUCAAGGGGAGUGUGUGUGUAAACAGAUAUAUAGUUUUAUAGUGCAUAUUUGUAAAAAAGAUGGCUUUGUUGGGUAGAAGGUUAGAUAUAUCAAGAUAAUUCCACAAAAUGAUUCAAAUUUGGCUUCUUUAUGACAGUUGGGAACUUUCCUAAACUCUGUGAAAAGGAUACUUGAUGUGUUACACAUACGAAUUGAGGAUAUCUUGAAGUCAUGGGCCGCAUACUUGACGAUCGCCGAUGGAAAUGCAGUUUUUGGUGAGCAAACGAACGCGAUUACAGUAAUGUUGAGGAAGAAGUACAAGAAGUACAUGCAAGCUAUAGUGGAGAAACUCAUCAGCAAUGUGAGAACAGCUAUGCACAAAUCCUUCACAUCUUAUGCGCUAAUAUCAAAAUUACGUAGUAGUAGGCCUUUUAAAUUCUCAACUUUGCCACUUAAACCCUCAAAAGAGCAGUUUCCUACAAAAUGUCUCAAUAUUAAGCCGAGUUAUCCACAAUUUUUAGAGAUAUUUGGUUUUGCCUUAAAACAAACUUUUUAUUGAAGAAGUAAAUUUUUCUCAAUUUCAGGGUAUAUAUGUAAAGAUAAAGUGUUCGAAAUGCCUACAUGAAAUUUUUUAGAAAUGAAUGUAUGUGAAUAUCUGAAAAGUUUAUGAGCUCGUCCUUUACAUACAGGCUAUAUAUGUAAGAAACUAAGUUUUCAAAGUAAAUAUAUGAAAGUUUUGAUUUUGCAGGGAUAUAACAAGUUAAUAUGUCAGUAAUAGAGUUGAACUAUGAACUUACAUAAAAUUUUUUUUUCUUUUUUGUUUUCAGACGCAGUCUAACCGGAGUACAAGACUUAAGAGAAUUCUCGAAGAAACAAAAGAGGCCGAGGGCGAAAGUGAGAUUCGUGAAAGAAUGCAAGCACUUUGCAUGCAGCUCACAGAUUCCAUUCGAAACUUGCAUGAUGUCUUUUCGAGCAGAAUAUUUGUUGCAAUUUGCCGCGGUUUCUGGGACAGAAUGGGGCUGGUAAGAAAUAAAAUUCUGUCUGGAGACUAAGAUGCAAAAUAUGGUAUCGAGGAAAACAAAUAUUUUCAUCAUUGCUCUGAUGUAUGCUUUUUUAUUCAGAUUGUACUGAGCUUCCUUGAGAGCAGAAAAGAGAACAGAAUAUGGUAUCGAGGAUCUGGCUAUGCUUUAGGGGUAAGCUGCUCUUUAAGAUAAGAGUUGCAAAAAUAGAAAGCUUCCAAAAAAUAUCACAAUUUUCACAUUACCUCAUGUAAAUAUGAAACACCUACAUUUUAUCUCAUCAGCCUUUGAGCUAACUAACUAGCAUAGUAUAUACAUCAAAGUUAAGUGAUUGGUGUUUAAUGAACUAACAGAUUGGUUUCCAGAAUUUCAGGGUGAUGAGGUUUUUCCUGGGGCUUUACUGCAUUUUGGCCUUAAAACAAAACUGUGCCUGCCUGUCUAACAUGUAGUUUUGCCGUACUAUGCAGAUCCUAGAUGAUGUUUUUGCAUCAGAAAUGCAGAAACUGCUUGGAAACUCUCUCCAAGACAGGGAUUUGGACCCGCCUCAGUCGGUGAUCGAUGCGCGAUCUAUUCUCUGCUAAAAGGGCAAAUGGGGAAAUUCACUACUACUUUUUGUUGUUUGGUUUAUUUUCUUCAUUCAUUGAAGCCUAUACGUACGUGUUUGGCAGCUCAAAUUGGAUUGAAGAUCCUAGGCUCUGGUGUGCUGCAUUUCUUGUUGCAGGUGUGUAUAAUUUUGUAUCAUUACUUGUCCCUUUUCUUGUAGUAUAUAUUAUUACAAUUUGUAGCUAGAACAAGAAAGUAAAAUUUUUUCUUUUCUUUUUUUUUUUUUUUUUUUUUUUUUUGUUCUGGAGAAUAGAAAAUAUGAAGAUAAUGUUUAGUCGCAUGAAGGUUUUUAUUUUUUGUUCCUGAGUGAUAGCUACAUAUGGACAUUUUGCGUAAAAGGUGACAAUAUUUGCAAUUUGUUUCUCAAUUUAGGACGAAAUAAAUGGUAAUUGUUUCUAUUAUCUUUAAGAUUGUCAUUUAUCAGAUUUUUUAUGCAUACUCUUUUGCAUUUGAUCAACGAAAUGUGGAACUUCAUAUCAUUGUGUUAUCUUUUAUACCCUAAAAGUGCAUAAGCAAACCCACAAACUUCCGAAUGUAUAUGUAAACUUGGGCGCCAAUUCUCUACUAUUUUAUGUGUGCAUGUCUCCAAGCAAAUCAAAUGGUUGUAAAGUUUUAUUGGCAAGCAACAGUGGCUGACAGGGAGAAUAGUAAAGAUUUUGCCCCGUUUGUAGAGUAAUUGUUUUUUAUUAGUGAAUACUACGCUGAAAUUUGUGUUUUGUACUUGGACAAUUCUCUCUCUCUCUCUCUCUCUCUCUCUCUCUCUCUCUGUGUGAUAGUGAUCAGCAUACAAGGAACUUCACUGUUGUAUUUUAGUGUUCUACUAGCGUAGGUACCCGCGCAAUGCGAUGGAUAGAUAAUUAAAAAAAAAAAAAUAUCGACAAAAAAAAAAACGGCGAUAUAAAAAUGAUGAUAAGGGAUGAGAUUUACUUUGCUGAUGAAUAAAGAUAACAGCCGAAGGAAGAGGAAGAGGAAGGACUUGAGUUGGUUCGGGGUGGAGUAUGUUGGAUUUUAUUGGAUUUUUGUGAUUUAAAACUUGUUAGGCUUCUUGGGCAGCCUAAUACUUAAUGGGCCUUGCCUGGGAGCCCAACUAAAAUUUUCAUAUGUGAGGUUUAGUCCCACAUUGAAAAUUAAAAGGGUGUUGUUGGUAUUUAUAUAUCCCUUUAUUCUCAAGCUAAUUGAUUGGGAGAAAAUGAGAGUUAUACUCUCGUUUAACCACAUGCACUGCACGAGCACGGGCCGGGCUACUGUGCGCAGUCCAUACGCCCGGCUUGUUUUAUUUUUAUUUUUUAUGUUUUAUUUAUCUUGUUCUACAUGGAAUUGACGCGUUGAAGCAAGAUUCUCGUCUUGAUUAUAUAUAUCGGAGAAGGUUGCGUGAGUUCAAUAAGAACCCGAGCAUACCUAAGAGCUAAAUCCUACCUCGCCAUUUCCUGCUUUCUCGUGUCAUUGAUUUCGCCGAGCUUUCUUUGCUUCAUCUGAUGCUUGUUGGGUUCGUCUUGCCCCACCUUGAAAGCGUGCCAACAGGGUGGAACGUGGUCGUUGUAUCGCUGGAAGUAAUUGCCGAGAAGCCUCGCACGUGGAGGAACAAUUUUGCUUCUAGGACAGUGCAGAGCACGCCUUGAUCCAUAGGCCUUUUCGAAUCUUUUUUUUUUUACAGUAUUUGUUAUUUUAUUUCUUUUCGAAAUUUUUCUAAAUCUGAAAUUAAACUUUCGAAUUAUUUUUAAAGAAUAUUUUAAUAAAGAUUAGAAAGAUUUUUCCAAUAAUCUAGAAGCCAAAUAUUCAUUAAUUUAAUCUUUCUGUUUCUUUUAUUAUAAUAAUUAAAAUAUUUCUUUUCUACAAAUUAAUAUAUAUCUUACUAUUAUUUUUCUGAAAUUCAAAACUGUUUUGUGACAUAAAAGUAGGAUUAUUUGUGAACAGAUUUUUUUAUGGAGGAUUCGACGAAACCUUUUACUUUUGAUGGUCGUAAUUUUAAGAGGUAACAGAACCAAAUGAGUUUCUGGCUCAUCAUACUUGGGCUAGUUUUUACUAUCUCGGAUUCUGUCGAGAAUGACAUUGAAUCUGCACCUGAAGGUGCAACCCAAACUGCGAUCAAUAGAUCGAUUACUCGAAUCCAAUGCCAAGCUGGAUCCACUCCUCCCUCCACUAAAACUGCAACUACUUCUGCAGAUCAACUACCAUUGUUUAAAUCAGAUUCUUAGUACUCUAUCUGAUAAAUUGUAUGACAUCUACUGUAGUGCUAAAAUAGUUAGGAAGCUUUGGACAUCCUUAGAAAAUAAGUACGGUCAAAUUGAUCCUACCCAGAAGAGUUACCGGGCGUCUGAUCUUAUUAAAUUUAAGUUGAUAGAUAAUAAGUCCAUGUCUGACUAGCUUCAUGAUUUUCAGCAUAUAGUUGAGCUGUUUAGAUCUAGUGGCAUAGAUCUUGAUGAGAGGUUUUUAGUUGCCGCCUUUAUAGAUAAGUUGCCACCUUCUUGGUUGAACCAUGCAAACGAUCUUAACCACAAUCAAAAAGAGCUAUCCCUGAAUUAUGUCCUAAGAUUUAUUAGGAUAAAAGAGUCGAACCGAGCUAGGGAUAAGAAGCCCAGUGAACCUACAACUCAAGCCAACCUAGUAGAGAAUCCCAAAAAUAAGGGUAGAAACUUUCAGCCUCACUGGAACUUUAAGAAGAAGCCUUUCCACAAUAGGAAGUUCAACCCAAACCUUAAGAAAUCUAAACCUGAGAAAAGUGGAGGCAACUCUGGUUGUUUUGUGUGUGGGAAGACGAACCAUUUUGCGAAAGAGUGCUACUUUCGCAAAACUCGACCUUUCGUACCAAAGAAGAAGAAGGAAGCUCCACCUGAGCGCCAGAUGAAUAUGCUGACUACUGGGUCUGACCCUUCUGACUCCACUAUCAGGUUAGGAUCUAGUUUAUCGAAUAUUAACUUUGCCUAUAGUUCUUCUGAUUGGUGGAUAGUUACUGGAGCUAAUGUUCGUGCUUGUUCGGAUCGUUCAUAGUUUUCUACCUAUCAGGACUUAUGUGGAGGAUCAGUGAACAUGGGGAAUGCAGCCUCUUCUCACGUGCUAGGGACAGGUCGAGUGGACUUGAAGCUGACCUCUGGGAAUAUCCUAACCUUGCACGGAGUCCACUAUGUUCCCGACCUUAGAAUUUGAUUAGUGGCUCUCUUGUAGUUCAGCUUGGUUUUAAGUUAGUUUUUGAAUGUAAUAGGGUAGUUAUAACAAAAGGAGUGAAUUUUGUCGGAAAAGAAUUUUUAAGUGAUGGUUUAUUUAAAUUAUAUGUAUCUUCUGUUUCUAUUAAUGAAAGUGCUCUUGUUAUGAAUGUUAUUUCUCCUAAUAUUUGGCAUGAAAGAUUGGGACAUGUAAAUUUUAAUACUAUCAAAAGGUUGAUGCAUCUUAAUUUGAUUCAUAAAUUUGAUUUACUUGAUCAUAAAUGUGAAAUAUGUGUGCAAGUUAAAGAGCCUAGGAAACCAUUUAAAUCUGUGGAUAGAGAUUGUGAUCUUUUAGAAUUGGUGCACUUUGUGAUGGAAGUAGACCUAGUAGAGGUGGAAAUAAAUAUUUUAUGACAUUUAUAAAUGAUCAAUCAAAGUAUUGUUAUGUUUACUUGAUAAAAUCUAAAGAUGAGAUUUUAAGCAGAUUCAAGAUUUACAAGGCUGAAGUUGAAAAUUAAUGAGAUAAGAAAAUCAAAAUUUUGAGAUUUGAUCGAGGUGGUGAAUAUAUUUCGAAUAAGAUGAUUGCUUUCUGUCAAGAGUUUGAAAUUGUGUAUCAGGUGACUGCUCCUUAUACAGCUCAAUCUAAUGUAGUUGAUGAAUGUAAGAAUAGGACUUUGAUGGAUAUGGUGCACUCGAUGAUUAUUAGUUCAUGCGCACCUGAGUACUUGUGGGGGGAUUUUAACGGCUGGGAUGUAAUUACAAUAAAAUCAAGAGAUUAGGCACUCAAUUGCAAAAAAAAAUGUUGGGGACCCAAGUAAAAAUUGGUGCAAAGGUUGGGGACCAACGUGUGUAAUUAACCCUUAAUUUUCAUUGAGAAACUAAAGAUUGAAUAACAGAAUUCCAAUAGGAGAAGUAUUGUGUGUCCUCUUGCAAUCCCUUAUAUUCAGUAAAAUAUAUUUUUUCCUAUCUUCUGUUUUGACCCGAUGUUUGUUUCAUAUUCAAAAGAUUUCUAAAUCUUUCUUCUUCCUUUUGUUCCUUGUUUGGGAAACGAUGAUUGUUUUCUAAAGUUGGUUUAAGGACCUUGGUUGAAAGUAGGAAUUUAAAUGUCUAUAAGCACGAGCCGUAUUCACCGUAUCGUAUCGUGUCAACAAGAUAUCGGUAUUAUACAAUUCUUGUGGCGAUGACAAAGCUCAAAUCUUCUUUUCUUUAUAAAUUAAUUAGUACGUAAUGUUUUUUAAUAAAAUUCAAAAAAAUUUAUAAAGAUACAUAAUAAACAAUAACAAUUUUGUUGCUACAGAAAAUAAAUAAAUUUUGUUGCUACAGAAAUUCAUACCAUUAUAUGUCGGCACAUAUGUAUUUUUUUUUACCAGCACUCAUCGGUAGAUAUGUAUUUUUUUGAUCGGCACUCAUCGUGUAGUGUUCCUGAGCUUUGGAUAGGAUUGGCUUCAGUAUUUUAGACUGGUCGACAUCUCUGGAGAGUGUCGGACUGAGUCGGAGUCAAUUCUGCACGAAUUGGAUGCAGAAUUGGACUCGGCGCACUCAAAUAAGCAAAACUGGAGUUUUGCCAGAUUCGGGCGCCCAGAAAAUGUUUAGGGUCGCCCAGAAACGAGUGUUUAAUUUAACUGAAACUGGAAGCCAAUUCGGAUCCCAUGUUCCGGGCGCCCAGAAGUGGGUCCGGAAAUUUCACCUCGUAAAUAUCGCUUGCUUCGACGCGUGGCAGGGUGGUAGGUGAGUUCCGCCGGUGCCGUUUACGGGCGCAGCACACCGCGGGCGGAGAGUCCGAAGGGCCCGGUUUGUGCUGUCGGGAUGUUCUGGUCGCCCAGAACAUGUUUCCGGGCGCCCAGAAACGCCCGUUUCUGCAGGGACAGCAGAUUGCAAGCUUUGUUCUUGAGGUUCAUUUGAUCCUAUUUUCACUCUAUAAAUAGUUGGAAUGUGUCCCUUUGCUGCUCUUUUCUUCCCUCCUACACAGAGAAACCCCUUGUAGCAUCUCAAACCUCGGAUUUGCUUCAAAUUGCAUCAAAUGUCCAUUGAUCCAGCUUGAUGGUGUGCUGAUUCUGCAGUUCUUCAGCGACGACCUCCAGCGUUUUGGCUCGUGCGCGACGUAGGAAGGUCGGAUUUCAACGAAACUUGGUUUGCUGGAUUCUUGACUUUCAGAGGAAUCCACGAAGCCUUGAUUUGCAGAAUUUGGUGAAGGUUAGCUCAGUCGAACUCAGGUUUUCCUCUGCUGCUGUUGCUUUGGACAGAAUUUGCCAAUUUUUGAGUUUUCUUGGGGUGAACUUGGGAAGCAGGGGCUUUGUGGAGUUGAGCCAUUUUCCCUAUCACCCAGUACUGGAAUUGGGACCCUCUUCACCUGAUUUGGAGUUCGUUAGGUGAGUUUUGACAUUGGAAUUGAGAUAUUUAAGCUUAAGUGCUGUUUUGCUGAAAUUCAUCGUCGACUGUUAGUAUUUCAGCUCGUACUCGACGUAGGAGCAUCGGAUUUCGACGAAACUUGAUUCGUUAGUUUCGGGACUGCGAGAGGAAUCCACGAAGUCCUUACUUGUGGAUUUUGGUGAAGGUUAGCUUGGUCGAAACCCUUCUCUUCCUUGCUGCUGUGUAUUUGGACUGAAUUGUGGAUUUUGAUGUUGAUAGCUUGGAGAUAGCUUGAUUGUGAGACUCGGACAUUUUCCGUCGAUCCAGCAGGUUGUGCCACAGCCGAGGGAGUCCCGUGCUGCCAGGAAUUGCAUUAGAGGUGGGUUAUCAUCGGUUUCGCUCCUAAGUGCAUGUUAGUCAACGUGUAUGGUUCGAUUGUUGUAAAUCAUGCUCUAAUUCAUCGAUUAGCAUUUUUGAAUGUAAUAUGAAUGUAGAAGCAUGCUGAAAUGAAUAUUUAGAUUAUACAUGUUGGACUUGAAAUUUGACUUAGGAGAAAACCUGCGUUUUGACCCGUCAUAUGCUUAAACUACCAGAUUUAGCUCUAGGAGCCGUGUUUCGAUUGUAUCGUUGCCGUAUUAGUGCGAUGGAUACCUGGGGUAGUUUAGAUGGCAUUUACGCUCGUGCUGAGGUGCCGAGCUUAUUUUCAGCAGAGUAUAGGCUGUUUCGGGUCAUUGGGUGCCGUUCGGGUUAGCGGUGGACCCAGAUUCUUGUUUUGGUCACAGAUUGUGCCGAGGGCACGUGGGUUUGGUUUGUAGACCUGUUUUGACCCUGUUCACUUGACUUUGGCUAGUUGGAGCCUGUUUGAGCUCGACAGAGAUACGCUGCAUACUCGGUUGGGUAGCGCCCACGAGUGCCACUCCGGAGUCAGGCUUGUGCUUUUGCGUUGGUGUCGCUCACGCCAGUUGGACUUGCUCUCCACGGACCAGUUGUGUGGAUAGAGCCUGAUAGUCGCAACGGGGCAGGGACGGGUGUAUUCACAGUCCCGGGGACGGGUAUGCUUACAGUCCCGAUUGGAUUGGGUCAGAUUUGACAUUUCCUACAGUUGGUUAGUGUAGAGCAUGAUAGUGUAGUGAUUGAUAGCGGUAGAGUGUACUUCCUGCUUUUCCUACUAUUCUUGCUCCCUUCUGUAGACUUAGUGGGUGGACCGAUGUUGUUUUGGGCGGUACCCACUGAGGACUACUUGUUUUUACAGUAGUUCUCACGCCCAGUUGUUACCUAUGUUUUUGCAGAGCCACAGGUUCCGGCUGCUGCACCGUCUGCGGACCAGGAUCGAGGCAAGGGCGUCGCGAGUUAGAGCCCUACCCGACGUGCUGAGCUAGAGGUGCCCUACUGCAGGUAGAUGUUUUGUUUCGAGUUCAUGUACAUAGUAGACCUAACUCGCCAGUGCGAGUAGCUUUGUAUUUUGGAUUUGGACUAUGUAUAUGAAACUCAGCUGGUUUAGUUUCUGUUUUUUUUUAGCAGCUCUCUACUACUGUUCGUAGUAGUGUUUGAUUUACAGGUACAGCUAUCGCUACGUAUACAGGAAAAAUUCCUUUGUAUACGGCGGAUUUGUCGGCGUGCCCGGGGAAAGUAUAAUCCGGGGCGUGACACAUCGGCAGUCGGCACGGUCCGAUACACAUUGUGCUGCCAAGUUUUCGGCAUGGCAUUGUGCCACGACAUUUAAAUUCUUAAUUGAAAGCACUCCUACGCUAUUUUAUGUAAGAAGAUUUAAUCCAGGAUAAACGUAUAGGCUAAAAUAUAUAGAUUCUUUUUAUAAAUAUCUACUUUUAUAUUUUAGCUUUUUUCUUUCAAAAAAUAUCUAUUUUAUCUUUUAAAAAUUUAAAAUUGUACUGAACGUGCCUGACAUAAGUGCCAAAGGACUUGAUAGUUUGUAAUCAAAGUCUCAAAUUCGGAAUCUAAUUACUUUACAUUUUCAGUUAAAUUCACUUUUUUAAAAGAAAAAUUAACGAUGCAGGUGAUAUACUACCCUUCUCUUAAAAAAAUAUUUGAAGUUGUAGCAUUAGCCUAGCACCGUUACUAUUGUAUGGUUCAACCAAGUAAAUUAUUGAGAUACCCAUUAUUAUACUCUUAGAAAUUGUACGAAUAUAUAAAAAAAAUUUAUUUUUUCUAAGAUUAGAUAAUUUUAUGAAAGAGAUCUCUUACUAUUUAUUAUUUUUAAAGAUAAAAUGAGUAUAUCAGUAGUUACUCAAUUGUAUCAUACAAUGCGUGGAACAAUAACAAAAUAAUAAUAUCAUGAAUUUAAGUGCUCGCGCAAGAGCCAAAUCUAAAUAGCCAAGAAAAAAGAGGAAAUGAAGAAGACCAGUCUCCAAAUAUAAAUAUUUAGCAAAUAAAAGGACUUCUUUUUUUAAAAAAUAACCUUUAAAAAAUUUAUAAUAGGUGAAAUAAUUCUUUUAAAAUUUUAUUUAGCUAACUAACCUUCUUCUUUCCAACUCAGUGCCAUGUGUGAUAGAAAUGAGAAAAGUUGCGUUCACCGUCUUUAGAAAGCGGUAAAUUAUUUUCUGUUUUCGGAUUGUUAUUGUUAUCUAUAGAUUUUUUUUUUGUAUGAGUUGUAACUGACUUUUGUGAGAUUGUGAAGAUUGUAUCUAAAUUAUUAAAUUUUUUAUUUGAUUAUUAGGAUUGUAUUGAGCGGUUAUUAGAAUUUUUACAAUAUUAAGAUUUAUAUGAUUUUUUGAAAUUUUAUGUAGUAACUAAAAUUCUAUAUAAGAAAUAUAUAAAAAAAAAGACGUAUCGUUUACCGCUUUCUAUCUCAAGAAAAAGACACGUAAAUAAUUGAAUAUCUUCUAAAGUCUUUUCGACCAAUUAAAAUUAUAAAUAGAUUAUUUGACAAAUUAUAAAUUUCUUAAGGAUUUAUUUGAAAACAAAUUCAAAUGAAUUUAUCAAGCUUAGAAAUUGACCUUUUCUUAUAAUAAUCCUAUAAAAGUUUUAAAUUUGUCCAAUGAUCUUUUCAAAAUGUUAUGAUCUUGUCAAAUAAAUUUGUCAAAUAUUAUGAUCUUUUUGACCAAUUAAUUUUACAAAUGAUCUUGUCAAAAAAAUUUGUCAAAUGAUCUUUUAAUUUGUCAAAUGAUCUUUUUAAUUUGUCAAAAUUUUAAUUUCUCAUUCCACUAUAAGAGUGUGUUUGGUUCGAUGUCGGAAUUGGUAUCGAAAUCGGAAUGAGAAUAAGUUAGAAACAGAGUCGGGAUAAUUCAUUACCUCAUUGUAUAUAGUUCGCCACCUGAAUCGGAAUCAGAAUGAACCAUUUUCAUUGUCGGUGCUUGGUUCAGAUAGAUAUCAAAAACAUAAUCAAAUUAAUAUAUCAAUUUUAUCUUUAUAAUAUAUUAGUUUAAAUUCAAACUGAAAAUUAAAUGUUAAAAAUAUAGGUCAAAAUUUUAAAAUGAUGUCAAACUUUUAAAUAUUUUUUUUUAAAAUAUUAAAAUUUGAGAUUGAACGGAUAAUUCAAAAUAUAAAACUAAAUUUCGAUAUUCAAAUUCAAACCUUAAAUUAUAAUUUAAAUUUCAAUUUGAAUCUAUAAAUUUAAUUUAAAUUUUAAAUAAAAUUUGAAUAAAACUUUAGAUUUUAAAUUAUUAAGUUCAAAUUUAAAUUUAAAUUUAUAAAUAUAAUUUUUAAAUUUAAACUUAUAUUUUAAUUAAAAAAUAAAUUUAAAAAAAUUCAAUUUAAUCGAAAUAAAUCCAUUCUGUUCGGAUUUAAUUUCUAAUUCGGUUCUCCUAGGCGGAAUUGGAAUAAGGGGUUAUUAUAUGGAUAAACAGAUUAGUCAAUUCUGAUUCUUCUACGGAUCUUCAGGUAAAAAAAAGGGCAAACCAAACAGGUCUUACUUAAGCUUCAUCAGCUUCCGCAAGAAUAUAUUGCACACUCUACUGAAAUACUCAGGAUGCCUAAGUGGGUGCUCGUUGGAGAUCAACAAAAAGAUGAUUAAAACCGACCGUCUCUAGUGCAAGUGGCAAAAGGUUUGAUGGUUGAUACCCGAGGUCGCAAGUUCGAAUUCUAGUUGAUUCACAUUUGUAAUAAAGUUUUUUUCUAAAAUGAAAUAAAGGAAGCGAUAGUCUCACAAAAAAAAAAAAAAAACAAAAACAAAAAGAAGAGAGAAGAAUGAGCAAGAAGAAGAAGAAGAAGAAGAAGAAGAGGAGGAGGAAGAAGAAGAAGAGAGGUUCCUAUAUAUGCAAAUAUAUGUGAAAGUUAUUUUCGGGUUUGAAAACAUGAUGAACCCCUGUUGUAGAGGAAAUUAUGGAAAAGCCCCUCUCUCUCCCCUCCUACGCCCAUGCUCUCUUCUUCCUCUUCUUCUCCUCCGACCCCCGCACCACCUCUCCCUCCUCCGCUCUCUCUCCUCCCAUCCCCCACUCCCACCCCCACCCCCACAAACCCCAAUCCCAGUCCAAAUGCCAGUUCAAUCCCGAAACACCCCCCGCACCCCCUACGUGUUCGACGAAACGCCCCAACGAGACCUCUUCUCCUGCUCCGCCGUGAUCAACCUCCACCUCAAGAACGGCGACCUCGCGCGCGCCGAAUCGCUGUUUCGGCGAUUACCCGUGAGAAACGUGGUAGUCGAAUCGAUGAUGGUCGACGGGUACGUGAAAGCGGGUGAAAUUGAGGCGGCGAAGAGGCUGUUUGAUGAGAUGGGGGAAAGGAAUGUGGUGGCGUGGACGUGCAUGGUGUCCGGGUAUUGCAGCGCCGGGCGGGUGGAGGAGGCGCGGAGGUUGUUCGACGAAAUGCCGGCGAGGAACGUCGUGUCGUGGACGACGAUGGUGCUGGGCUACGCGCGGAACGGGCGGUUGUCGGACGCGCGUGAGCUGUUCGAUCGAAUGCCGGAGAGAAAUGUCGUCGCGUGGACGGCCAUGAUUAAGGGCUACGUCGAAAACGGUGAGACCGAGUGGGCGAGGAAAUUGUUCGAUCAAAUGCCGCAUAGGAAUCUGUAUUCUUGGAAUGUGAUGAUCUCAGCUUAUUUGGGCAGUAAGCAAGUGAAAGAAGCAAUCGAGUUGUUUGAGGAAAUGCCUUACAGGAAUGCUGUUUCCUGGACUACGAUGGUUUCUGGCCUAGCCCAAAAUGGGUUUAUCGGCAAAGCUCGCGAAUUCUUUGAUUUAAUGCCUAAAAAGGAUACUGCUGCAUGGAAUGCGAUGAUCACCGCUUAUACAAACGAAGGGCUUGUGAAUGAGGCAAGAGAGCUGUUUAAUAUAAUGCCAAAACAGAAUCUCGUGACUUGGAAUGCUAUGAUCGACGGGUAUGCAAAGAAUGAGUGUAAAGAGGAGGCAUCAAGGCUCUUCAGCGUCAUGCUUCAUGCUUCCUUAAGGCCAAAUGAGACUACUUUAACUAGCAUCUUAAUGACGUGUAGGAGCGCUAUAGAAAUCGGACAAAUUCAUGGACUAGCUAGUAAAAUUGGUUUUCAAUCUGAAACCUCACUGGGGAAUGCUUUAGUGACAAUGUACUCGAGAAGCGGUGAUUUAUCUUCAUCUUGGCUUGCUUUCAAGAGAUUGAAUUGCAAGGAUCUUUUUUCAUGGACAUCGAUUAUAUUAUCCUUUGCCGAUCAUGGAUGUGGUAAUUAUGCGUUGCAAGUGUUUGCGCAAAUGCUAAGACAGGGAUUUAAACCAGAUGAGAUUACCUUUGUUGGUGUAUUAUCCGCUUGUAGCCAUGUUGGCCUAGUAGAGAAAGGUAAAAAGAUCUUCGAGGCGAUUAAUGGGACUUAUGGGCUGGAACCGAUGGCCCAACACUAUACGGGCAUAGUGGACCUAUUGGGUCGUGCUGGGCUUGUUGAGGAAGCUAAGAAAGUGGUCGAUACGAUGCCGGUGAAAAUGCAGGAUGAGGCUGUUUUAGGGGCAUUGCUUGGAGCUUGCAAAGUGCAUAAUGAGAUAGAAGUGGCGAGGGAAGUGGGCGAGAAGCUUAUCGGACUUGGUUCAUUGGGCUCAGGAGGUUACACUCUUUUGGCUAAUUUAUAUGCUUCGCAUGGAAAUUGGAAUGAUGUGGCUCGAGUUAGAAGAACCAUGAAAGAGAGGAACGUGAAGAAAGUGGCGGGCUAUAGUUGUGUGGAAGUUAAGAUGGAGAAUCAUGUGUUUUUCGCGAGGGAUCAAAUGCACCAACAAGCAAAGGAGGUUUAUGAGAUGUUAAAAGAAAUGCUUCUCCCACAAAUGAAGGACUUGGGUAGCUUUGAGUUGGAUCAGCUUGUCCCUGAUUGAUCUUCAUUAAUUACCUUAUUGAAAACUCUUUCAUGGCCGCACAUGAGUCAAUAUUUGAUCAAACAUUUCACCCAAAUUCAUCAAUAGCUUGUUUGGGCCUUCUGGAACAUUUGCAUGAGUGCAGCUCGAGUCGAGUAAUUCGAUAAAGCAGUAACACCUUUCUUAUUAAAAUGUCCCCAACAGCUUACCCUCGCAGCAUAAGUAGAAGCUUCAUACUAGGACUCGCUUUUGAGGCUAAAGCUUAUUAUAGCUUCCAAUCGUAGUAAAAACUCUGGACAUUUUAUUUGCUAAAUCCCUGACUCUUGCUUUUCGGAGUGGAGAAAGAGUUCCAAAUGACUGGCCGAGUAGUCACGAAGCUCAGAGAACGUCUGAUAUGAAUUGGCUAUUGGCUUUGUAUUAUGCUUCAAAUAAUUACCGGCUGUCUAUAUAAGGCAAUCCCUUUUGCAUGGGCUAGGGAAGGUGUGAAUUAUUGUUAAUGUUUAAAUGAUUGUUGCCGUACAAUUCUACCGUGGGUUGCGAAAAUGUUAGAGAGGUCGGACCAUUGGAAUGUGGAAAUGGCGAUCACCCUACAGCAGCAGGUUCUGGGCUGUUGGAUGGGGAAAAUGGAGGGUUUUGAUGGAUUUUGUUCUAUAGAGACAUUACUCGAGUUUUAAGAGAAUGGCUCGUUGAAAGGCUUCUUCAAGAAAUUCUUGAACAGAUAGACGUGAGCAAAAAUGAUGAAUGAUUGAAUAUUACACUUCCACUCACUUCUGAGAAAACUUAAGGAUCAGUUGUAUGGAAGGAGGACAUUAUAAUGGAGAUUGACGUACUCUGCAGGUGAAAAAAGUUAAAUGAUGGGCUUAUCGAGAAAUGGUUUUCCUGGAUCUUUGGGUACAUGGAAAUGAAAGAUAGACUUCGUUGUUCCCCGUUUGUCUUGAAAAACAACACACAGUAAUAGCCUUAUAAUUCAGAAGAGGUCUGUAAAGUGAAAUUCAUCACCAUCAGGAGAAAAGAUUAACCAACAUUUUCAAAGGUACUUCACAAUAUACCACCCAAGUCCUCUUGCCAACUUUCUUUUAUUUGUAUUCUUUUUUAGAAUAAUCCUAUAGGAUUCACAUGCUAACUGUUUAAUGAUAAAGUAGGAGAGACAAAAGUGUUUGGUUUUUAAUUUACUAGUUGUAAAGAGUAUGAACAAACUUGUAAAAGUAGCACUCUCCUUGGUUUCUCUUGCUAACUGUUUAAUGGUAAAGUAGGAAGGACAAAGUGUGUGGGUCUUAAUUAGGUAGUUAUAGAAAGUAUGAACAAGCUUGUAAAAGUAGCAGUCUCCUGUGCAGAUCAAUAAAUUUGGAUCUUGAUGAUGUCAAUCAAUUCCUCUUGCUUUUCUUUUAUUUUUAUUUUUUUAUUUUUUGAAGCAGUGAAUCAUUUUAAAUUUGUUGGUCGGUGGGGAAAGCAAUUGGAAAAUGGGAGACAGCAAAUUAACAUUGUGAGCUAUGCAAAAGAAAUUGUGUGUGAACUAAUUGGGAUUAAACUUGAACUAAUUGGGAUGAACUUUUGAAGUCCAAUUUUAUGUUCAGUACGGAAAAAGAAUUAUUGAUAAUUCACCUUUCUUUGAGAGCUUAAACUUUUUGCAAAAUUCAGUAUUCAACAAAAUAGAUGGUCUUCUGUUGGAAUCGUUUGAUAGUUCUAGUCUUAUUAAGUCUCCUCCUAUCUAUUGUUGGACUACCUCUCAUGAGUUUGAAUUAACGUUUGCAAGUUAGCGGAAAUUUCAAUAGAAAUUAUUUUUAUUAUUAUUAUUAUUAUUAUUAUUUUGAGAGAUGAGCAUUGACAAGAAAGUUAUUUUGCUUGGCACUUAUUUCUUAAUCAUUUUGGAUUUAAAUUCUGAAUAACAUUUUUUUUUAAAGUUUGAUUUGGUUACACAGUUAUCACAGAAUUCGUCAAUUUUAUAUGAAUAAUACAUGGAUAGAAUAAGUACAGUACCGAAACUUCCUUUUAUUUAUUUAUUUAUUUAUUGUUAAAGCAUUGAACCUGAAGAGUUUUUCUUGUGGAGAAUGUACUUAAAAAAAAUCAUGUUCUCCACAAUAAAUAAAAUAAAAUUAAAAAAAAAUAAGCAUAAAAGUAAAGAGAAGAAAGAAAGAAAGAAAUAGCUAUAAAUUGUCUGAAUAAUUCUCAAUAGGUUGAAACUAAAACUCUAAUCAAGCUUCUCCCAAGGCUCUUCUACAACCAAACAAAAUUCAAAAAAAAAAAGGUUAAAAACAUAAGGUUGGGAGAGGCUGGUGGUUUAGGUGUCAAUUGUGUUUGGUUUGGUUGGGAUUAAGUCUUAGUCUUUUUAUUAUACUCUUAUGACUAGACUUCAUUGGUCCCCAUUUCAAAAAUUGAAAAUUCAUGCAUUAGAACAAUUGGCAAUUAUAUUCCAUUCCCCUUUUAAAAUUAUUGUUCUGUAGGAGCACUCCAAGCAACUAACUUUGAAAGUAUCCUAAUUAUCAGAUUGUGAGCUUAACAAUGCUAGAAUGUAAAUGACAGAGCAGAUGUAUUAUCUUUGGUUAGUAUUCAGCAAUCUUGAUCCAAUUCGAUGCAUAAGAUCUAUCAAUAGCAAUUUCUACUUUGUACGUAGAUUUUAUGGAUUAUUUAAGAGAGAGAAAAAAGAUGUACGUUACCAAAUUAUAUGAAGCAAACAGGUACAAUCUUGUGAAAAUUGAUUAUAUGUCGUAUUCCUCUAGCAUUCUUUAAAACGAGAAAUCAUUUAUUAAUUACUUAUCAUCCAAUCUUAUGAAUUUCCCAUACAUAUUCGCAUAAAAUUCAUCUCAUCUCUUCUCUUUUUUCUUCUCUUCUCUUCCCUUUUUUUUUUCUUUACACCCAAAAGGGCUAAUGAUAGGUGCAAUUCAUGAAAUUGAAUUUUGCAUUACAAAACUAUGUUCUUAUUCUCAAUAAAUUGCAUCAGAAACAACAAAGGGCAAGAGAAAAUAUACAAAGUACUUUGUUACUAUGUUUUGUUGGAGACUUACUAAAGCCCAUUUCACAUAUUCUUCAUGAUCUUUUCUAUGUGCAGAAGCAUCCUCUUCAAAGACCCUUCUCUUCUAAGAAAGGUAAGUUCCACAUACACCUGCACCAACCGCGCACGCGCCGCAGCCGCACCCCUUCCCACCGAUGAACACCGGCCCCCGAAUCUUCCCCUGCCUCCGCGACCGGAUGGGCUCAUCGAUGGACGAGAAGAUGAUCAUCGACAUGAUCGAAAGCCACACGAUGAUCACGCAGAAGAUCACGUCGCCGCGAUCUGGAGACUCGAAAACCAUGACCAUCUUAUUGCCUAAAAAUUUAUACUCCUUUGUUGUUGUUCACAGUGUUCAAAGAGAAGGGUCUUGUGUAUCUCUAUGUAUAUAGGCUAUUGAGAGGAGAUGUGGCCCCCCCUCAGUUUGUUACUACGCUUCUUGUAUUCAACUAUGAACAAUUACAUUUUUUAAUGUGGAAUUGACUGAGUGAACUACUUUGUGUUGCUUUGGAGGAUAUAAUACUAUAUCACCAUUUUUGACUUGGCCCAUCAUAUGUUCCAAAUAUCUACCCAUGUGUAUGUUAGAUAUGUUUCAAAUUCUUGACCGCGAGAUUUCCUAAUCCUAUCCUGUUUUGAUUAUUCUAUUAAGUUAAGUUUAGAUUAUACCUAAUCUCAUUAAGAUUAUUUUCAAUCUUAGUGAAUUUAUAUUUUUAAUUAUAUUAGGAUUUAGUCACUAUUAUAAAUAUAUCUUUAUUCUAUUGAUUUAGUGUGGCGGAUGAAAGCGAGUAUGGGUGUAUUUUUAUUUUUCUUCUCUUUUUCUUGAUUCUCUUUUGGUAUUUUUGCACCUAAUAAAUUUAUAUCUUUUCCGCUUUUGUCAUAACAAAUCGGUAUCAGAAAAAAUUUGAUAUCAGUGAAAGUCACACAUUUCUAACAGUAUAUACAUACUAAUACAUAAAUAUUUACCAUAAUUUUAUUUUGCUCCCUUUUGUUUUAAAGUAAGGCUCCGUUUGGAUAUUCCUGAAAACAAAGUAUAGUUAAACUAUACUACACUGGCAAGAAAAUUAUUCUGUGAAGCGUUUAGAAGAAAAAAAAUGACGUAAUUUUUGGAGUAUCAUUAAACUAUACUCCAAAAAACGGAUUGAAAUUAAAUUAGUUCAUUGUGUCAUCUGACACUAAUUUAACUAAUGAAAAGAUAACCUAAAUACUAGGAAUGUGGUUUUUGAAUUCACAUAUGCAAUAAAUACACGAAUUAGAGCUCACUUUGGAAAAAAAAAAAAAAAAAAAAAAAAAAAAAAAAAAAAAAAAAAACUGAUGGAUGAAUUUUUUAGAAUGAAGCUUAUUUUAAGGGAAAACUUCAAAAACCACCCAUGUGGUUUCACACUUUCUUACUUUAAUACUUUGUGGUUUAAAGUGUAUCAAUUUAGUGCCCUCUAUUUUUAGUUUUAUAUUUUUAUUAUCGAUUUCACUUAUUUUUUUUGUUAAAUCGGUGACAAUGUUAAAACUAAAGGGUACUAAAGCGAAUAUUCGAUAAACCUAGGUGGGCCAUCUGAAGUUUUUUGUAUAUAAUUUAAUGAAAUAUUAACGAAAAAGUUGACGAAAAGAUAAAAAUGAAACCACAGGAUAUUAACUUGAUACACUUUAAACCACAGGGCACUAACGUGAGAAAGCGUGAAACCACAGGGGUGGUAUUUGAAGUUUACCCUAAUUUUCUAAUCGUGAAUAGUGAUUUGUAUUUUGUUAUAUUUCAAAUGGUACGCCCCGUUUGGUUCAGGGAUAAAGUAGAGAUAACGAAAGUUAUCCCCGCUCUUCCGCCAAAUGGGAUGUUUUUGGGCGUAGAUAUUUUAUCCCGAAAUAUUGCUAUUCUUGGCUAUCCCGGAAUAGCUUGGGAUUUAUUAUUUCACGAUUUUGACGGAAUACUGCUAUUCAAAGGUUUAAUUUCAAGUUUUAUUAAAAUUAUAAAUUGAAUUAAAACUAAAUUAUAGAGACAUAAUAUGUUAUAUAUUAUAAUAUAUUAUUUUUAUUAUAAAAUCUAUUACUAUAUAUAAAAGUAGAACCCUUAAUGAACCCUAUGUGAGAAGCUGACACGUGGCUUUCUAUAUGCUUGCCACGUGUCAAAUUCAAAUAUGGAUAUUUGGUUACGAAUAGAUAUUUGGUUAUAAAAAAUAUCUGCCAUUUUUUUUUAUCUAAAUUGCCCUCAAAUAGUACGUAUCAAAUUUCACUUUUUAUAUGCAUAUCAUAUCUUCUAAUAACCGUCGCCCACAUAAUAUCAUAUUUAAAAAAAUAUAAUAUUAAUUAGAAUAAUUUUUUUAUCAUCCCAUAAUAACUUAUGUUAUUUUAUAUUAUUAUAUUAUCCGUGCAUAGCACGGGGUAAGUACUAGUUAUUAAUUAUACUACUUAAUUUAUUACUCUAAAUAAAUAUUCAAUUAGCUAUUUGAGAAUGAAAAAGGACGGGAAGGGGCUGAUUAGAUAGGGGAAAAGAAGAAAAAGCGCCUUAUAAUUAAUUUAUUAUUUUAAUUAAUUUGCUAAUUAAAUAAUUAAUUAUUUAUUCGUGUACUUAUUCAAUAACCAAUAUUUAUAUUGAUUAAUUAAUUAAUAUUUUGACUAAUUUAAUUAUCUGACUAUUAUUAUAUAACUAAUUUACUUAUUAAUUUAUUAGAUUACUUGUGAUUAAUUAAAUUAUUAAUUACUAAUUAACUUAUUAAUUAAUAUUUAGGGUUGUUUAGCAAUAUUCAUGAUUAAUUAGUAAAUUAAGUAAGUUGAAUUAUUAUUUAAUUAAAAUUUUUUAUUAAUUAAUUAGAUAAAAUAUUAUUAUAUUAAAAGUAUAAUUAUUCUUAUUCUUACUAUUCCGAUCUAACCAUCCAAAUGCUAUUUUACUUAUGUUCCCAAGAAAAAUUCAGUUUUUAUCUAAAUAUAAAAUUGAUUUUAUUCCUGCUUAUCCCAAGAGUUAUAUCUAUCCCAUAGAUAGCCUAAAAUAGUUUAUUCCCAAACCAAACGAUAGAACAUUUUGAAGUAGACUCCUCAUCAACUAUUUUUCAUAAGUACAACCGUGGGAAACUUAUCUAAACAAUGGACCAUUCGGAUUUGACUGCUUAACUUUUUAAAAUUUUGAUUUUACUAUCCAAUCUUUAAAUUUGUUUGAUUUGAAUCAAUCAGCGACACUUUGACUUCAAAAUUUAAAUGCGUCAUUUAUCUUUACAGCUUUAAUUAGUAUAUACACUACAACAGAAUUAGAUUAUAGGGACACAUAUUUGGGACACUUUUGUGUGAGUGUCCCAUUUAUAGUAAAAUUUUUAAAAAAAUCUACUAAUGCCUAAAUAUAAAGUCUAAUCCAAUCAAAAAUAAAAGGUUACUCUAUUCAACCCACCCCACCCAACCUAUUCGGCCCGUUUACAAACAUAAAUGAAAAAGAAAAAAAAAUCGAUUACCAUUUCUCCUUCUCCCCUCACUCAAUCGACUGAAAUCCUAGAUGAAGAUCCCUUCCUCUCGUCCUCCUCCGCCACCGUAGCGAACGAGGUAGAGUUCCGGCGGUUGCUAAAUACUUAAAUAAAUAUUGGUAAAUUGGCAGCACUCUUUUUAGGUUAUAGCGACACUCUUUAACUGUCACUAUAUACCUAGCGACCCCAUAUAUAGCAACACUUUUUAAAAGUAUCGGUAAUUUAGCCAGCAGCACUUUUUUUAACCUGUACCGAUAUUUAAAAGUGUUGCUAUAGACCAUUUUUGUUGUAGUGAUAUUUCAUGCAAUUCUCACCGUAUCGUUGAACUACUCAAAUCAAAUAAAUUGAAAGGUAUCUUUAUAUAGAUUUAGUUAGUAUGUUUUUUUCUUUGACUCCAUAUUAUGUUAAGUAUUCAUUUUCUAUAUUUCUAUUUUAAAUUAUUAUUGAUAUAUAAAGAAUAACUUUUUUUUUUGCAAUGCGUGCCCUAUAAUAAUAUAGUUAAGUUAUUAUAAAGGUGCCCAUACAUGGCAUGGAUACUAAUCUAGGGUACACGUAAAAAAGGACGCAUUAUCGUAUAGUCGUUGAAUGAUAACGUAUAAAAGUUGAUUAUAUGAUGCUCAUCUUAAUGUGCCAAAUAUAUAGGUCAAACAUUUACAUGAGUGAUAUAUAGAGUGGGAGAACUCUAAAAGGCAAACCUUUGAAUAAGAUAUUUAUUGGGAUAUACACCAAAGUCAUUUUCCUAUAGUCACUUAUGUAGUCAUUUUCCUGUAGAUCAUUUUCCUGUGAUUUACACCAAAGUCAUUUUCCUGUAGUCUAUUUAUUGGGAUAUACACCAAAGGCAUUUUCCUGUAGUCCAAUAUAUAAGAUAUUUUCCUGUGAAUAAGAUAUUAUUGGGAUAUACACAAGUCAUUUUCCUGUAGUCCUAUAUAUAUGGUUUUUGUUUUAAGAGAUAGGUAGCAUGCUAUUCGUUUCGUUUAUUUCAUUUAGAAAUAAACUUAGUUAGAAAUGUGAAUCAACCAGAAUUCGAACUUGGGACCUCGAGUACCAACCACCAAGUCUUUUGCCACUUGUGCUAGGGACAGUCGGUCUAUAUAUAUGUUGAUUGUGGAUCAAGCCCAUAGUUUAUGUUGAUUGUGGAGUCCAUAGUUUACGUUGGGGUACGUAGUUGAAUUUCUUAUUUCAAACAAUUAACAUCGUAGAUUUUUCAACUAUGAAAAGGCAAGGAAAAAAAAAUAUUAUAAUUGAAUAAGAAGGCAGGGCAUAGAAGAAAAUAUACCUGUGUGAGAAAAGUAAUGUUGUGAUAUCUAUUAACACUUUUACAGACAUUAAGAUAUACUUAAAAAAUUAAUAAUACCAUGCGGCCUACUGAAAAUAAUAUUAAAAAAGUUAUUUUUUACUAGAGAAUAAUAGUUGUUUCAUAUUAUUUUAGUAUGAUAUACCAGAAGGUCCUAAAUUCUAGUUUUGACAGGCUCUUAUUUUUUGUUAAUUUUCUCCUAUUUUUCUGUAAGUCAAAUUCCGCCAGAUUCCUAAUUAAUAACCGAUAUGCCACAUGUUUCCGCGUGAAUACUGCUUCAAGCAAGAUACCAUGAGGAGAAGCAUAGGAGCUUGUUUGGAAGGAAAAAAAAAAAGAGAAAAGAGAUAAGCGCUAAAUGCAUUAAAUGUGAAAAGUCCCUUUAAAAGUAAAAGCGCCUGAGUAUUUUGCACUUCGUUUUCAAUGAUGAAGCAUUCGAGCUACGUUCCAACUAACAGCAUUAAAUAUGAUCCAAGAUAUUUAAAAUUUUAUAUGAUUUCACGUAGAUCUUUGUCUUGAUAAUCUCGAGAUUCUCUCAGUAAUUCCAUAUUUAUUUGUCUUGGUAGUGGCUCUCUGUACAUAUCAUUUUAAUUAUUAUCCUACGGUUGGUGCAUUUGAGGGAUAGUUAUGAAUGGCAAGUUUGCAGGAAGUUAUAUUAACUUGACCCUCUACCCAAUUUCAGAGUAUUUAUUCCACUUGUAGCACCUUCUUUUGGGUAAAUUACAUUGGAGGUCCCUGUGAUGCUCCGAGUCCAUAAAUUGGGUCCGCUCGAGCACGUACAACAGACCCGCCGAAUGAGUAAAGUUUUUCUUAUUUAUACAAAGUGGAACAUAUACCAAUCUGUACAAGGCAUAAAAGAUAUGGAUACAAGAAGAAUCAGAGUGGGUUUAAUUGUAAAUAGGCCGUGUUGGUUGCCUCGGGCAGUGUGAACUGACUAUGCUGGCCCUCCGGACUAAUUGUCCUAGGUUCGAUGACUCUUGUGGAACUUGAAUAAGUUUUCGAUGCGAUUAUCGACAAACUUGACUGAUCGAUCACGGUUCGGUUCAAGAUUCAUAAUAAACCAAUAUGAAUGCCCUUUUUCUGUUGUCAAGGUUUCUAAGUUGGGUGCCCUCACUAUCUUGUGCUUCCAAAGGCAGUGGGAGGAUUGCAGUGGGUUUGAAGCCGAAUCAGCACUUCUAGCAGACCCAUUGUAGCGUAGUUUUGCUAAACGCACUAUUUAGCGUCAUUAUUGCAUACUGCUACCUGGACACCCAAAUUGGUAUAUUUCGAGACAGCUAGCAAGUAGUUUAUGGUAAUGGUUGAUACCCUCUGGGACACUUCGUAAGCUAUAGAAGUGUUUUCGAUGAGUUUCCGAGAAUUUCGACAGAUUUUGAGAAUCGAUAAAAGGAACCGAUUGCCCGAAGGUAUUUGGGAAGUGAGUUAAAUGACUUUUGGGUCACUUAGGUUAGGGUUAGACUAGAGUUAUGGAGUGGUUUGUAACUCCGUGGGAUCUUUCAUAGGUCCGAGUAAUGUUUAGGAGUAUCAGCAAAGUCAUAGGUGUUUCGCCUACUUUGAGGUAGGUGCUUCAUUCUGAAGUUAUUAAAGUGGUGUCUGCUCGGUGAUUUCUUCCCUUGUCAUCUCCUUUCGAUUACAUGAUACAUUUUGAGCACUUCGUACACCAGUUUGUAGCUUAUUUGCUCUACACUUGCUUUUAUCUCGUAUUUAUCAUGAUUUAGUUAUAGAGCGGCAUUCUAUUGUGUUGGAUAUUAUUGCAUGAUUAUAUAUGGUAGAUGACCUAUUAUAUGGUUGACCUGAUUGGUCAGUGACAUAGUGAUAUCUUUGAGAUAUAGUUGACCUGAUUGGUCAGUGACUUGCUGUUGAUCUCUCUUUCUUAGCUAUCUGCCGAUGGUUGGCUAUUAAGCAUAUAAUAUCGAUCGCCUCACCUCAUGACAUUAGCGGUUUUGUCACGCCGCGAGCCUGCCACUUUGGCCGAAUUCGGGCACGCCAACAGACUGCCAAACGGACAGGGUUUCCCCUGUACCGCGGACAGAAUCUCCCCUGUACGUCCAAGGCGUCACAAUCCAAACAAUGUGCAAGGUUCCAACCAGGAACAGUAUACAACAAAGAUUGCAUAAGGAAGGUAUCGAAACAUAAAUACAACUAAAUUAUUACAAUCAUUAAUCUCACAUAUUACAUUACAUUUUCAUUCUCUUUUUAGCUUCCAAAUACAAUCCGAUUUAACAUAGUUAUUACAACUUUAUUUUUUUCAUCACUAAACCCCUAAGUAGCCGACUCAGGAUACUGCUAUUUCUGGUCUCAAUGGUAGGGCGCUAUCUACGGAGCUAUGCCCUUUCCUCGCGCAGCCGCGCCGAUCACGUGUGAACCAGUACCCCCAAAAACAACACGAGGGUGAGAACUAUUGUCCAUAGUUCCUAGCGGGUACGACCACCCAAGAAAAAAACUCAACCCACCAGGUCUAAAGGAGGCACUGCAAACAUGUUAGUCCAACAAAUAUCCACAGAUAUAUAAUGUAUGCAACUAACAAUUAUCAUGUUCAUGCCUCACAAUAUGCAAUAUGCAAAUCAUGCAACUCAUACAAGUAGAUUAAUUGGUUCUACUCUCUAUCAUUUGCCAUUCGUUAUAUUGUUAGCAAUUCUUAAUCACUUGUCAUUUUUUACUACUUGCAAUUCUUUAUUCUUUGACAUUCUUUAUUAUUAGCCACUCUUUAUCGCUAGCCGUUCUCUAACGCUAGCUAUUUCUUAUUACUAGCCGUUCUUGAUUCUUAGCCAUUCUUUAUUAUUGCUAUACUUUAGCAUUAGCCGUUUUUUAUUCUUUAUUCGUUAUUCAUUACUAAGGGUACUCACAGCUUAGCCAUAUUAUACACAUUUGCCAUUCUUUCCUAAGGUUACUUUACCUUAGCCAAUUAUGCCACUCGACUCGGUCUUGAGUCAAUCAACUGCGGAUAAUCCGCGCUCUGUCCGGCUCGAGGUGAAGGAACUCUCACAUACACCUCAGCCUUCAAUCCACAAACCACAUCGCCCAACGAGUCGCCCAGUGCUGCGUACACCUGUUGUCAGGGAUCUCCCGGUGGGAGAGGAACAUACCGCAUACACCCGCAGCCGAGACCCCCGAUAGGGAGAGGAACAUGCCACAUACACCCUAGCGCUCAAUCUCAAUCCUCGAAGUUCUUCAGGUGGGAAAAGAACAUGCCAGAUACACCGGCGGCCAAGAAAUAUCGAGCUCAUAUACUGCACUAGCAGCCACUGCACUCGCAGCCGAGAUUCCGAAAUCCACUUUCACAACUCUAGGGUUGGCCUCACCCUAUAGUAUCGGCCUAUCUAGGUCCAAGCAUUUACUCAACCUAAGUUUAAUACAUUAGGUUCGUUGCCACUAUACUCAUAGCCUAGGUUCAUUAACACUAGGUUCCAUAUUCUUACUACCUAGGUUCAUUUGGCUCUAGGUUCAAUGUCACUAUAUUCAUAACCUAGGUUUACUUGACUCUAGGUUCAAUUCUUAACCUAUGUUUAAUACAUUAGGUUUUAUUGCCACUCGUGUUCUUGUUUUCGUAGUUGUCCACACCUAGAAAUUAUACUUGACAUCCACUCAUGAAUCACCUAUGUUCAAUGACACUAGGUUUUAUUGCUACUCUUGUCCUUAUUAUUUAUACUUAGGAUUCUUAGUUUACAAGCUAUACUUGUCGAGUUCUUUACUCUACUUAGAGUUCAUCGAUCUAAGUUCUCAUUCUCCAAGGAUGGUCCAUACACAACAGUACUUGCAUUCAUGUAGCAUUUAGUUUAUGCACUAACUUAGUAUAUACUCUAUGCAUUCAUUUACACUUUUCGCAUGCAUUUAUUAAUAGCAUCUUAAUCAUGCAUUUAUAUAAUAUCUAUGUCAUUCAUGUUAUUUAGCAUCUAGCUCAUGUAUUUUGCUAACAUGUCUCAUGCAUUCAUUUGCACCUAUCACAUGCAUUCUUUAGCCUCCACUUCAUGCACUUAUGUAUCUUCUCAUGGUAGGUAAUAACAUCAAGCAUUAUAUGAUUUAUGUACUACAUAUUAUCACAUACAACCUACCAACUACACAUGCAUCAACAAUAUUCACACUUCACUUUGGCAUGAAAGUGAGCUAAACAUUUCGGUGAGCACAACCCACCUCAAAUUGCUUUUCGAUUGCUUGUAGUCACUUGCAAUCAGCCUCCCGCAGCACACGUUGCCCGGUUCGGCCCGAACUCACACUCGACCACCAAACGACCACCAAUCUACAAUUCGAAAAUUUAAUGUCUAUAACUUGAUGCCACGAUGCUCCGGAUCCGUUCUUGUGAUUUUUGGACGUCGCCUCGGCCCUCCAGGCGGAAACGAAGCCAAAACGUCUGUUUCUUCAAUAUCUUCAGGUAGGCUCGACGAAUCGCCGAACCGACUUCGCCAACGCUUCGGAAAUACCUUCAAUUAGGUUUAUUUAGGGUCAAUUUACAUUUAGACCCAUCUAUGACAAAAGCCCCAAUUUUGAUGCCCUAACAAUGUCAUUUGGCCAAUAUACAAUUUUGAUCUCUAAAACAAGCAAAUGCAAGCUUGUUGAACCUCUAGGAAUCCAUCUAGAACCAUUUAAAUCAUUCUUAGGAUGUUUAGAACAAACACUAGAAAUCCACCAUGAGAGCACUAUGAAGAAAAUAUGGUUUUCAUGUGUUCCAUGGCCACUACUAGGUUUCCUCUCAUGUAAGAAGAAGAUCAAAACCAAGUGUUCUAGGGUAUAAAACUAAACCCUAAGAUCAAUCUUAGAAGAAACCUCAUCUUAGCCUAUGGACUCCACAAGCUCCACCUUGUAGGAGAGCUUUAGAUCUUCCAAUCUCCAAAAUCUCCUCCAAAUCCUCCUCUUGAUUUCCUCCUUUCCACCUUGGAGGAGAGUUUCUAGAGAGAGAGAGAGGGAGAAAAUGGGAGAGGAGAUGAGUUCUCAGCUGGGAAUAAGAGAAAAGAGGGGUUGGGGGCUUAUAUAGGCUGUUACAUUUGCAAAUAAGUCCUCCUUCUUUUCACAUUUGCAGCAGACCAACCUGCUGUUUUCGCAGCAUUGUGUACCGGUACACAUAAGGGGUGUCACCGGUAACACGAUCUCGCAGAACCAAACCCGAGAGCAGCUUCUCGGGUUUUUACACUGUGUACUGGUACCUUUUUAAUCUGUCACCGGUUAACAGUCUUUUUAGGACUUAGCCAAUUUUUUCAGCUUUUCUUCGUUUUCGCUCGUUUUCGCUCGUUAGGCCUCCGAUUCAUCUCAAAUGGCACCGAGACCCCCGAAACAAGUUUUCGAGCGUGUUUCAACCAUCUUUUCAUCCAUGCUUAUGUCUGAUUUUGUCCAUGGUCCCACAUAGCUUUUCGGGCUCCGUUUUCACGCCCAACGCACACCGAAACACCCGAAUGCUCCCGAACUUCAAUCUCGUAUUGUUUUGACUCCAAUUUGCGCUGAGCAAUGCUAAAACCUUUCCAACUCCCUUGGAACUCAACUUUAACCUUUCCAAUAUUGUUGGAAUGUUAAAUAGACUUUGUCUAACUAUUCCUUUCGCACACUUUAGUUAAUUUGACUAACGUUCGAUAUUCUCUACCGAGUUUCGGUAUGUUACAGGUUUGGUCACUGCAAUGGUGUUCUUUUUUGAAAAAGUGAUCAUAUUUUCAUCCCGUAAGCCCUAUGCAGGUUAUUUGCUAGGGUUAUAUACCGAUAGGUGAGCAGAUUAGGGCAUUGUCUGAGGUCAUUAAACCAACAUGGCGGUUUGAUUAUGUAUAUUUAGACUGUUCAUCCGGUUGAUGUGUAUUUGCAUUUAAUAUUACAGUAGUAAUUAGUUCUAUAUCUGUUGAUUUGUUUCCUUUCAGCUCGUUAUUGCUAUUGUCUUUGUUAUACCUAUUCAUAUAAGUUGAUUACUAUCUCUUAUUUGCCGGUGAGUAUAGCUUGCCUUUGUCGGCUUGCGUUACCCACUGGAAAACAUGUAAACAUGUUUCUGACCCCCUGUUUGUACAGGCGACAUGUGAGAUGAGGGUUGAGAUGGUGCGUGAGAUUGGCACUAGAUAGUUGUGUCCCAAAUCUAAUCGCCGAUGACUUUUAUUUCCUAUAUUCCUUUCAAUUUACUAUCAGUUCAGUAUGGUUAGUUCAUUGGUUUAGAUUCAUUUUGGUUUAGUUUUAGUUCAUUAUGUAUUUAUUAAUAAUGAUGAAAUAAUUGUGGUUUAUUUAUCCGGUCAAUUACUUGUCAUAUGGAUUAUCGUUGGAUGAUUAGCUUUAUUCUGUUAUUACUCUACAAUAGAUGUUUAGUUAUACACAUUCUGUACCAAUCUGCUAGUUGUUUGUAUUGUAUUCUGUGUAGUUGUAUGUGUGGUUGAUGUUGUAUUGCAGGUGCUACAUCGUGAAUGUAUAGGAAAAAUUCUGUCCAUUUGUACAGAGGACCUUUUGUCUAUGUUGCGAGUCUACACAUGUUUUAGGGUGGUGCCUUUGGUGAUCGUUUUUAAAAAGUUUACACAUUUUUCGCUGAUUUCCGUAAAAAGGAUUUUACAAAAAAAACCCCGGGGUGUGAUAGGUGAUCCUUGAUAUUCUUAGAACUUCAAGAAAAUCCUAAAAAGGAGUUUUAACCGAGUUAGAACCCUCAAAUCUCACAUUUGAGAAAACUCCAAAAAAAACCCUAAAAACACCAAUUCACAUCUUCUCUUCUAACAAGAGAAACGUGGGUGAAGUAGACCUCUUCUCCCUUUUAGAACUUCCUUUUGAAGCCUUUUAUCUUCUGGAAGCCUCCAACCAAGUGGAUCUUCAAGAUCCAACGAUAGGGAUUUUAGGACACUGUUGCUUGAGGAAGAGAGGAGAAAGAGAGAGAGGUUGGAAGGGGGAAAUAGGUUGGAAAAUUAGGGUUUGUUGUGAAAACCCUAUUUAUAGAGGUGCUAUAAUAGCACAAAAUUUCUCAACCUUUCAAAUUGCAACCAGACAAAUCAAUGCUUUUAUGCUAGGUUUGGGUCCCUCGCCCGAACUUUUGUGUGCCCGAAUCUGUCGUAGUUGUGUCCGGUCCAGAAUCUGGAUGCCCACUCAACCUGCCUGAUUCACGAAUUGUACGCCCGCAGGAGAAAUCGGGCGUUUGAUUCCAUAAUUCUUCACGCGAACUUGCACUCUUGGGUUGAGCAUCCAAAAAUCAUUCGGGCGCCCACAAGGGAUCGCCGAAAAGUUGUUUUGGACGCCUACAGGGCAUUUCGGACGCUUGAAAACAAAGUCUUUCGCAUUCCAGUGCUCAGGUUGGGAGUCCGGAGGGGUUUCGAGCGCUCUCGAGUGAGAUUCGAAAUGAUUUGAGUGCCCACUGGGCAAUCUGUGUGCCUAAAAUUGGGCCUCCCACCAACUCUGCUCUCUGGAAAAGCGUCUACUCAUUCCGAGCACUGCAUCAAGCUGUUCAAAACUAUUUCAAGUGCCCAAAUCUCUGCUCCAGGCAUUCAAAAGGAUUGGUACUCAAUUUUCUUCUAUUUCGGAACUCUGUUUCGAUACUAAUUGAUUCCAAUACAAUCCAAACUCAGUCUAGAUUCCUUUAAGGCCACUUUAUUCAUGUCUAACAUAACUCAAUUAACACUUUGUCAUUUUAGCCAAAGUUUGGUGCAUCAGGAAAAGAGAUGUGAGAAGGGGUUGGCUAUCAAAAAGUUAUUUAUAGGUGUGCUAUAUUUGCACAUGAACCCUCCAAUUAAUCAUAUUUAAUUUAGGAUUUGCUAUAGAUAAAGGUCAAUCCUAACAGAUUUAGAACUACUUGAUAUGGUAUAUUUUAUCCCUAUCCCAUCUAUUUCAGAUUUAAAUAGAAUCCUAAUCAGAUUUUCAUGGGAAGUCGAUCUGGACUCUAUAUAAAGGUGUAUUAGUUCUGGCAUCUUCUCAUACGCAUUCUGGUGAAGAAUUACCGUCGGUUCCACACCAUACGGUAGAGUGCCUGAGAUAGGAGGAGAAACCAAAUCACCCAAGUUCGGUUCGUGACUUUCAAAUCAUAGCCUGACUUCACGUUUCCGCAAGUUGAUCAGGAAUUUCUUCUCGAUGGCGCUCUGUGAGUUAUCUUAUAUUCUUGUUUUGAUCCUGGAUUUUGGUAUGUAUUUAUUUCUCUAUUUAUUUUACAUACCUUAAAUUUCUAUCAAUUUGGUAUCAGAGACAUGUUCAAAAAUUAAUACUUUUUGCGCAAUAUUUAAUUGCAUAGAAAAUUAUUAAUAUGCCUAACGUGCAUAUCAUAGUUUAUAUUCAUCUCCCAUAACUAUGGAAUUAUUCAUCGUCGUGGACAUGCAUAAAAUUUAAUUGUUUAAUCUCGCGGUGGCCGCAUGCUCCGGCCACCUGUUUAAUUGUUGAUCUCACGGUGGCGGCAUACUUUGGCCGCGUGUUCGCAUGUAUAAAGUUUAAUUGCUACGUGCAUCGUCCGAAAGAUUGACGCCGAUGAAUAGUAUAAAUUUUGUUAUGAUUCGGUUGUAGUUCAUAGACUAAUUAAUUAAUACCAACUUUAUUUUGCAUGUGCGUUUUACUCCUAUAUUUGGCUCGCAUCAAGUUAUAAUCUGAUAUGGCCGUAUGAACCAUGACGAUGGUGGAAUUCUCAGCCUACAUGUUUUUUGUGGGCACGGAAACUUUUGCGUAUGAGCGUAUGACUCAUGUUGAGAAUAAUCAGUUUGCCACGUCACAUGUCAUGGCCAGGAUAAUUUUGUUGUGCGUACGGCUUUUCUUCUUGAUGCGUGCUAAUUAUAUAUUAAUUAUUUGUUAAUUAAUGAUGUUUCGAUUCAUAAAGACAUUAUGUUUUAUAAUGUGAUGUGGAUAUGUAGAAUUUGUUCACAUAAGAUUUUAAUCUCGCAUUAGUUUAUUUUAUAUCUGUGGUCAAAUUAGAAUAUAUAAAGUUUAAAUUUGAUUGCGAUUUUAUAUUUUAAAUUAUCGCAUUUAUAUUCAUAUUUUGACUAGAUGAACAUGAAAUUUAAAUAAUCAUAAUUAUUUUCGAUUAUUUAAUAUUUGGCACUAAGUUAAAUUAAUUUAUUUUUUUGAUUGGUUAGGUGCAAGCCAAAGUGGCCCUAAUUAAAAGAAAUAAUGAUUUCAUUUACUUUAAAGUAGCGUUUCCGGAUAAUUUUUAUGUUAAUUAUGCAGCACUAAGUCAGAUUAAUUUAUUGCUUCGACUGUUCGGGUGCAGGCCAAAGCGGCCCCGACCGGAAGAAAAGAUAAAUUAAUUACUUUAAAGAAGUGCAUGCGAAAAUUGCACCCUGAUAUUAUGUUUAGUCUGCUUCCAAAGGAGGUCUAGACAUGAAGGUAAAUGGGUGGUAUAGGAUGGUAAUUUUCUUGUAACUCGUUUGGAGAAAUUUGUCUGGCCAACGCUGACAAUUUCUUCAUGUGGAAAAUUUGAAAUUAUCACGACCUACAGAAAGUUUAAAUUAAUCUCUGAUAAACAGAUUGCAUAUUUAUGCUCAUAACUCUGCUCCCAAAGGAGGGGUUGUGAUGUCAUAUAAAGUAUAUGCGUAAGGAAUGAUUGCAUAUUUAUGCUCAUAACUCUGCUCCCAAAGAAGGGCUUGUGAUGUCAUAUAUAGCAUAUGCAUAAAGAACGAAAAAAUACUUAUGUUCAUAACUCUGCUCCCAAAGGAGGGGUUGUGAUGUCAUAUAAAGUGUAUUUGUUUAAUUUUGGUGUGGUAAUUUAUUAUGUGGUAUUUUAUUAAUAAAGCAUGCAUUUUAUUUUUCAGCUAUGACUCCAUUUUCUGUUCCUAUUGGUGAAUCUGUUCCUAUACUUAAUGGUUCUAAUUAUUCAGAGUGGAAAGAACAGAUCAUAUUUAUUUUGGGCUAUAUGGAUUUAAAUUUGGCUCUGUGUGCUGAGCAACCGCCUAAGAUAGUGAGGCCAAUGACUCCACAGCAGGAAUCCGUACAGGAAAAGUGGGAGUGAUCCAACCGCUUAAGUUUGAUGCUCAUAAAGUCAAGGAUAUCAAAAAGCAUAAGGGGAUCAAUCCCAGAAUGUGAUAAAGCCAAGGAUUAUCUAAAGGCCGUUGAGGAGCAGUUUGUCAGCUCCGAUAAAGCCUUUGCGAGCACCUUAAUGAAUAAACUGUCUUCCAUGAAAUACUCCGGAAAUGGCUCGAUUCGCGAGCAUAUUAUGGAAAUGCGAGAUAUUGCAGUGCAACUCACCGCACUUGAAGUAACUGUGACGCCCCGACUUCCCAGGGGGUCACCCAUCCUAGGACUACUCCCGUCCUAGCACGCUUAACUCUCUUAACCUCUUGGGCCUUACCACCACCCAAAAUGCUUAAGCCGGAUUAAGAGUUUAGCCCUAUUAUAUCUCAUAUAUAGGACUAUCUGGGGUCUCACAGUAACCAUCUCUGAUUCAUUCUUAGUGCACUUUAUUUUGAACUCUUUGCCAUCUGAAUACGAACCAUUUCAGAUAUCUUAUAACACACAUAAAGAUAAAUGGUCAAUUAAUAAAUUGCUGACCAUGUGUGUGCAAGAGGAAGGCGGAUUAAUACAAGAGAAACAAAAUACAGCCAACUUUGUUUCUCAAAGAGAUAAAUAAAGCGUGCGAAGAAUGGCAAGGGCAAGAAUGACUCAAAAAGAAAGAACAAGAAAGUUCCAUCUGGUUCACAAGGCCAAUCAAGUAAUUGGACUCUCAAGUGCUUCUUUUGUAAGAAAAAGGGUCAUAUAAAGAAUGACUGCCAAAAGUAUCAAAAAUGGCUCCAGAAGAAAGGUAAAUUUCUGGUUUUGAUGCAUGAGUUGCAUUUAGUUUCAGUUCCAUCAAUACUUGGUGGAUUGACUCUGGUGCCACAUGCCACGUGGCAAAUUCCGUGCAAGGAUUUCAGAAUCGCAGAAAAUCCAGUAAAGAUGAAGCGACUAUCUAUACAGCUGAAGGAAAUCCAACUAAAGUAGAAUUUGUAGGAACAUUUAGAUUAGUUCUUUCUACUGGUUACAUUUUGGAUUUAGUUGAUACAUUUUAUGUUCCAAAUUUUUCUAAGAAUUUAAUUUCUAUUUCGAAACUUGUUGGAUUGGGAUAUAGUUUCAGUUUUAAUAAUAAAGUUUUUUCUUUAUCCUAUAAAUCUCAGAUAGUUGGCUCUGGUGUUUUGGAAAAUAAUCUAUAUAAAAUAUUUUUGGAUGAUUCAUAUAGUGAAAUCUUUCUUACCAUGCACAGAAAUGUUGGAUCAAAAACGUGGCAUUAACAAUGAAAGGUCAUCCAUGUUAUGGCACAAGAGGUUAGGACAUAUCUCGAAACAGAGAAUCCAAAGGUUAAUUAGAGAAGACAUUUUAGAUGAUUUGGACUUCUCUGACUUUGAAAUAUGUGUGGACUGCAUAAAGGGAAAGCAGACCAAAACUUCCUCUAAAGGUACUAAAAGAUGUGAUGGAACAUUAGAGUUGAUUCAUACCGAUAUAUGCGGACCUCCUUUUGUUUCAAUUACUGGCCAUAAAUAUUUUAUCACAUUCACUGAUGACUACUCUCGAUAUGGCUAUCUCUACUUGCUUAAAGAAAAAUCUGAAGCAUUAAAUGCCUUUAAGGCAUAUAAGACUAAAGUAGAGAAUCAACACGAGAAAAGGAUAAAAGUAGUCAGAUCAGAUAGGGGUGGUGAAUAUUUUGGUAGACAAACAGAUAAAGGCCAAAUCCCUGGGCCUUUUGCUAAAUUUCUAGAGCAGUGCGGAAUUGUUCCACAGUACACCAUGCCAGGAACACCUGACCAGAAUGGUGUUGCUGAAAGAAGAAACCGCACAUUAAUUGAUAUACUCAAGAGUAUGAUUAGUAAUUCUACCCUUCCGAUAUCAUUGUGGAGUGAGGCACUCAAAAUAGCCCUGUAUAUUCUUAAUUGGAUCCCUACUAAGGCUGUCACUAAGACUCCUUUUGAGUUUUGGAUAGGUAGGAAACCCAGUUUAAGACAUUUUCAUACUUGGGGUUGUCAAGCUGAGGCCAAAUUAUAUGAUCCACAAAUAAAGAAAUUGGAUCCUAGAACCAUAUCAGGAUAUUUUAUUGGCUAUUCAGAAAGAUCCAAGGGGUAUAAGUUUUACUGUCCAUCACUUUCUAUAAAGAUUGCAGAAACUAAAAUAACACGGUUUAUUGAGGAUGGUGCAAUUAGUGGGAGCUUUGAACCUUGGUUCAAUGAGUUUGAGGAAAUUCAAGAACAUUCGGAUUCUGUACAUGAUAGACCCACUAUUGUCCCUCUCGAUUUGAUGGUUCCUAUUCCAGUAGAACAACAAAUCGUUUUGGAACCACAAAAUCAUUGUGAACCUAUCAUUGAUAAUUCACAUCAAUAUGUACAAAUGGAAAAUUCACAUCAAAUGUACAAGUGAAUAAUCCAUAUCAAGAUGUACAUGUGGAUAAUCAUAUAGAUUUAAGAAGAUCCUCAAGACAGAGAAGACCGGCUAUAUCCAGUGAUUAUAUCGUCUAUCUUUAUAAGAAUGGCCAGAGUUUAGAUGAUCCUCUUAAUUUUUCCGAAGCCAUAAAUAGUAAUAAUUCUACGGAAUGGUACAAUGCCAUGAAGGAUGAGAUAGAAUCCAUGAACCACAAUAAGGUGUGGGAUCUUAUUGAGUUACCUAUAGGAGUUAAACCCAUAGGAUGCAAAUGGGUUUAUAAAAUCAGAUGGGACUACAAAGGUAACAUAGAGAGAUACAAAACCCGUCUUGUGGCAAAAGGAUUUACUCAGAAAGAAGGUAUUGACUAUAAAGAGACUUUUUCUCCACUAUCUAGAAAGGAAUCUUUCCGUAUUAUUAUGGCUCUGGUUGCUCAUUUUGAUCUCGAGCUAUAUCAGAUGGAUGUCAAAACUGCUUUUUAAAUGGGGAUCUCUAUGAAGAGGUGUAUAUGUAUCAACCUGAAGGAUUCUCGCAAAAGGGAAAGGAGCACUUGGUAUGCAAAUUAAAGAAAUCAAUAUAUGGACUAAAGCAGGCCUCCCGACAAUGGUAUUUAAAUUUAAACAAACUAUUUUAACUUUUGGUUUUAAGAAAAACAUUGUUGAUCAAUGUAUUUAUUUAAAAGUUAGUGGGAGUAAAAUAAUUGUCUUUAGUCAUUUAUGUUGAUGAUAUUUUGCUUGCCAGUAAUGAUCUUGGGCUAUUGCAUAACACUAAAGAAUUUCUUUUCCAAAAUUUUAAAAUGAAAGAUUUAGGUGAGGCCUCAUAUGUUCUUGGUAUUGAAAUCAAAAGGGAAAGACAUAAAGGUUUACUCAGUCUAUCUCAAAAGGCCUACAUAAAGAAAGUUUUGAAAAAUUUUGAAAUGCAUAAUUGUAAGCCCAGUGUUGCUCCUGUCCAGAAAGGGGAUAAGCUUAAUUCUUUUCAGUGUCCCAAGAACCAAUUAGAAAUUGAACAGAUAAAAAACAUAUCCUAUGCCUCUACAGUUGGUAGUCUUGUGUAUGCACAAUUGUGCACACGUCCGGAUAUUGCUUUUGCCAUUGGAUUAUUUGGCAGAUAUCAAAGUAAUCCAGAUAUGAAGCAUUGGAAGGCUACUAAGAAGGUUGUGAGGUAUUUGAAGGAAAUUUUGGAUCAUAUUGCAUGUUACGAUACCACAUCACAGGCUUUUUGGCUUAGGAGUUUUAUCACAGACUUAAGAAUUGUGGACUCCGGUGUUUAUCCAAUAAAGAUUUUCUGUGAUAGUUCAGCUGCGAUUUCCUUUGCAAAUAACAACAAGAUUACAGUGGGGUGUAAACACUUGGACACUAAAUUUCUUGUUGUGAGAGAGAAGAUAGAUGAAGGUUAUAUUACAAUUAAAUACAUCAGUACCAAGUGAAUGAUUGCAGACCCAAUGACCAAGGGGUUGGCACCUGGGUCAUAUACGGAUCAUGUUAGAAAUAUGGGCUUGAUUAGUUCUUUCGAUGUAUAAAAUUGUAAUACUUAUUUUCUUUCAAUAAAGUUAAAGUUUAAUGCAGCUGUGUUGGACCAUUUAAUAGAUGUAAAAUUUCGUCUAUUAACGAAUGAAUAUACAGUUUAAGUUCAUUCAUAAAGUUGUGUCAUAUAAAGUACUCGGCUAGAAGGUGAAGAUGAUACGGUAAUUAUGGAAGAAAAUUUUCGUUAUGAAGAGGUGGACCGCCAUAGUUCCUAUCAUUGUAGUCUUUUAGUUUGAGCUAAAGAUCAAGCGAGUUCUAAGGUAUUUGACCAUAAAGUUUCCAAUAAUGCGCAAUAGAGAUUGGAGUAUAGAAAAUCGGUUAAUGGAAUAUGAUUAAUAUGAGCUAAGUGGGAGAUUGUUAGGAUUUCUAUAUAUUGUGGCCCAAUUAAUCAUAUUUAAUUCAGGAUUUGCUAUAGAUAAAGGUCAAUCCUAACAGAUUUAGAACUACUUGAUGUGGUAUAUUUUAUCCCUAUCACAUCUAUUUUAGAUUUAAAUAGAAUCCUAAUCAGACUUUGAUGGGAAGUCGAUCUGGACUCUAUAUAAAGGGGUAUUGGUCCUGCCACCUUCUCAUACGCAUUCUGGUGAAGAAUUCCAUCGGUUCCACACCAUACGGUAGAGUGUCUGAGAUAGGAGGAGAAACCAAAUCACCCAAGUUCGGUUCGUGACUUUUAGAUCAUAGCCUGACUUCACGCUUCCGCAAGUUGAUCAGGAAUUUCUUCUCGAUGGCGCUCUGUGAGUUAUCUUAUAUUCUUGUUUUGAUCCUGGAUUUUGGUAUGUAUUUAUUUCUCUAUUUAUUUUACAUACCUUGAAUUUCUAUCAGAUCCUUGAUAUUCUUAGAACUUCAAGAAAAUCCUAAAAAUGAGUUUUAACCGAGUUAGAACCCUCAAAUCUCACAUUUGAGAAAACUCCAAAAAAAACCCUAAAAACACCAAUUUACGUCUUCUCUUCUAACAAGAGAAACGUGGGUGAAGUAGACCUCUUCUCCCUUUUAGAACUUCCUUUUGAAGCCUUUUAUCUUCUGGAAGCCUCCAACCAAGUGGAUCUUCAAGAUCCAACGAUAGGGAUUUUAGGACACUGUUGCUUGAGGAAGAGAGGAGAAAGAGAGAGAGGUUAGAAAGGGAAAAUAGGUUGGAAAAUUAGGGUUUGUUGUGAAAACCCUAUUUGUAGAGGUGCUAUAAUAGCACAAAAUUUCUCAACCUUUCAAAUUGCAACCAGACAAAUCAAUGCUUUUAUGCUAGGUUUGGGUCCCUCGCCCGAACUUUCGUGUGCCCGAAUCUGUCGUAGUUGUCCGGUCCAGAAUCUGGAUGCCCACUCAACCUGCCUGAUUCACGAAUUGUACGCCCGCAGGAGAAAUCGGGCGUUUGAUUCCAUAAUUCUUCACGCGAACUUGUACUCUUGGGUUGAGCAUCCAAAAAUCAUUCGGGCGCCCACAAGGGACCGCCGAAAAGUUGUUUCGGACGCCUGCAGGGCAUUUCGGACGCUUGAAAAUAAAGUCUUUCGCAUUCCAGUGCUCAGGUUGGGAGUCAGGAGGGGUUUCGAGCACUCUCGAGUGAGAUUCGAAAUGAUUUGAGUGCCCACUGGGCAAUCUGUGCGCCUAAAAUUGGGCCUCCCACCAACUCUGCUCUCUGGAAAAGCGUCUACUCAUUCCGAGCCCUGCAUCAAGCUGUUCAAAACCAUUUCAAGUGCCCAAAUCUCUGCUCCAGGCAUCCGAAAGGAUUGGUAUUCAAUUUUAUUCUAUUUCGGAACUCUGUUUCGAUACUAAUUGAUUCCAAUAUAAUCCAAACUCAGUCUAGAUUCCUUUAAGGCCACUUUAAUCAUGUCUAACAUAACUCAAUUAACACUUUGUCAUUUUAGCCAAAGUUUGGUGUAUUAGGAAAAGAGAUGUGAGAAGGGGUUGGCUGUCAAAAAGUUAUUUAUAGGCAUGCUAUAUUUGCACAUGAACCCUCCAAUUCGUCAAAUUUGCAUUUAAAAGGAUUGCUGCCUCCACACCAGGUUUCAAGCGCCCGCUUGAUCUUUCUGGCCGGCAGGUUUACUCUGGGAUCCCGAAUUGAGCAUUGGAAAAUUGAUCUAGGUGCCCACCCAACCAUCUUGUAGUAGAUUCAGAUGCCCAUAAGGCAAACUGGGCUACCGAAUAUUUAAUGAUUCGAGCGAUCCAUCCUCUCAGGUAGAUCAUCCGGAAGCAAAAUUAAUCAUCCGUGAGAUAGCCUGAAUGAUUUCGGACACCCCCAGAAAGAUGCGAAUGCCCGAAUAUUUAACAGUCUACGCACCUUUGCUCUCGGGUAUAGUGUCCGCUAAGAAACGGGUGCUCGAUUGAACGAUCCGUAAGUCUUCGAGCACCCGAAAUAUUUUUCAUGCAUCCGGAAAGACUGGAAAAUUUAUUUCCUCUUUUUUUGAAGCCCGGAGUCGGUCCUAAUUGGUUCCAACUCUCAUCUCACUCAAUCUAGACUUCUCCAAAUCUAUUUUAACCAUGUCUAGCAUGAUCUUAAACCUCAUUUUGCCUAUUAGGCCAAACUUCAGUGUAUCUUACUGAAUUUCAGUAUAUUACAUCUACAUAUUGAAAUUUUAUAAUAGUUAAAUCAAUCAACUCUUACAUCAUAUUCUUGUAUUUUUUAAAUUUUAAAUUUUAAAUUUUAAAUUAUUAUUUUUAAUUAUCUAAAUUUUAAAUUUGACAUUUUAUAUUUGUAACUUGAGAUUUGAUUUAAAAUUUAAAAUUUAAAAGUUAUAACUUUAUUUUUAAAUUUGAGAUUUAAAAAUAUAGAUUUUAAUUUUGAAUUUUUUAGUUGUAAAAGUUAUCUAUUUAAAUUUAAAAAUUUAAAUAUAAAAUAAAAAAAUUUAAAUAUAAAAUAUAAUAAUUGGGGCAAUAUUAUUAUUUUCUAUUUAUAACUAUCCACUAUUUUUCUUAUUCUAUCUUAUUUAUCCAAACGCUAUUUUUCUUAAUCCUGGAAACAACUCAAUUAUCAUCCAAACGCAAAAUUGGUCUAUUCCAGACUUAACCCUAAACUUAACCAUCUCUAAAAUAACUAGUUCUUACUUAACUCCGAACCAAACGAAGCCUUAGGGGUUAAUUUCAUACAGGUCCCUACAAAUAUAGUGAAUUGCAAAUAUAUCCCUUAUAAAGUUCAACUUUCAUAUGUUGUCACUACAAAAGUCCUGAUGUUUUCAAAUAUAAUCCUGCCGUUAGAAUCCGUUAGAAAGUUUUAGUUAACCACAUAGGUUAAAUACCGAACCCUGAUUAUUAAUAAGGUGAAUUGACCUUUUUACCAUUUUCAAUUAACAUAGAGGGAUAUAUUUGUGAUGGUAAAAAGGCUAUUUUACUUAUAAAAUAGACAGUGCCUUAACGGUAACAAACCAGAGGGACAUAUUUAAAAAUAUUAGGGAAAACUUCAAAAACCCCCCUGUGGUUUCACACUUUUUCAUUUUAGUACCCUGUGGUUUGAAGUGUAUCAAGUUAGUACCCUGUGGUUUCUCACUUUAUCACUUUAGUACCCUGUGGUUUAAAAUGUAUCAAGCUAGUACCCUGUGGUUUUGCACUUUAUCACUUUAGUACCCUGUGGUUUCACACUUUAUCACUUUAGUACCUUGUGAUUUAAAAAACUAUAGGGUACUAACUUGAUACAAAAUUAAAACCACAGGGUACUAAAGUGAUAAAGUGCAAAACCACAGGGUACUAACUUGAUACACUUUAAACCACAGGGUACUUAAGUGAUAAAGUGAGAAACCACGGGGUACUAACUUGAUACAUUUUAAACCACAGGGUAUUAAAGUGAAAAAAAUUGAAACCACAAGGGGGGUUUUUGAAGUUUUCCCAAAAUAUUAUAACUUUUGUAUAGACAACAUAUGAAAGUUGAACUUUGUAGGGAUAUAUAUUUGCAAUUUGCUAUAUUUGUAGGGACCUGUAUGAAAUUAAUCCAAAAACUAUAUAGUGUUGCUAAAAUCCUAAUAACCUUUAGAUUAACAAUUGUAAUCUUUACAUCUUCUUUUUGAUUGUAGACUUGGGAUUCAUUUGGGAUUUGCUGGGAGAUUGUAUUACGCACGGUGGAAAAGUAAAAAAAUAAAAAAUAAAAAAAUAUUUUUUUGUAUGGCAUUCUGCAUAUCAUAAUAAAUCGGGUAUGAUAUAUUUUGUGCGAUACCACCAGAGAAAGCUGAAGCAUGUCUCUAUAUUCUUUCAUUUUAUUCAUCUAUUAAUCUUAGAUGGGCCUCAACACCAAACUUAAGUAUUUCUCUUAAAUUUUUACGAUGAAAAUGUAUGAAGCCCCCUCACCUCUAGGCCAUUCUAAAAUGAGCAUCCUCUAUUCUAAUUUUUUUUUGUUUUAACAAUCGAGUAAUUUUUAUCAACUAAAUUGGAAAUUUUAUCAAAUUUGUGGCGAUUUUAGCAAAUUUAAUGGUUUUGAUCACUAUUACCCAAAUGAGACUAGAAAAGUCAACAACCCAUGGCUACCGGUCAACUUAAAACUUGAGGAGGGUGUCAAUAAAAUAAAAAGUAAAAAUUAGAAGUUGAGGGGGCCAUUUCAAAAUUAGAAUAUAUUUUCCCCCUUAAACACUAGACACUGCAAGUAAACAAGUAAAAACUCUGAUCAGUGCAAAGAUUAAGGCAACCCUCAUUGUCUCAAAGUUAGAAUAUUUUUACCCCCAUAAUUUAUGCCACCACACACUACACAAGAUUUUUUUUAAUUAAAUUUGGCAAUUUCUUUUUCCAUUUAAAUCCUAAUUCUCCCUUUCCACAUUCUGUUUCUCUCCAUUUUCUUGCUACUCUCCCUCUCUCUCUCUCAAAUUAAAAAAAAAAAAAAAAAAAAAAAAAAAAAAAAAAAAAAAAAAAAAAAAAUAAGAAUCUAUUAUAUAGAUAGAUAUUGAAGUUAUAUCUCGGAUUCCAAAAAAAGAGAAUCAUUUCUUUCAAUACUCACUUAUUAUUAGUUAACAAUCCUAAUCCUCAUAUGCUUAAUUCUGAUAGGAAAUAAAUAGUAAAAUAAUUAUUCAUCGAAUGACUAUUCAUCUAUUGUAUUUUCAUCAAAUAGGGGCAGAAAGUUCUAUGAAAAAUGGUGGUUCAAUUCGAUGUUGUCUAACGAAAGUUAGGCAAUUUUUUAUUAAAUAAAAAAUAUAAUAAUAAAAAUAAAAAAUAAAAAAACAAAAAAAACAAAUAUAAAAAGAAAAAAAUAAACACAAAUAAAAAUAGAAAAAAAAACAAAAAAAAAAAUAAAAAAAAAAAAAAAAAAAAAAAAAAAAAAAAAAAAAAAAAGAAAAAAAAAAAAAAAAAAAAAAAAUAAAAAACAAAAAAAAAAAAAAAAAACAAAAAAAACAAAAAAUAAAAUAAGAAAAUAUAGAAUAAUAAAAAUAAAUAAUAAUUAAAAAAAAUAAAAAAAAAAAAAAGAAACAAUAAAAAAAAAAAAUAAAAAAAAAAAAAAAAAAAAAAACAAAAUUUUUUUCAAUUAAAAUACAAAUUUUCAUCGAAAAGAGAAAUAGUUUAUAAAUAAAGAAUUCGUUCUCGCAUAACCUUGUAUCAUAUAAUCAAAUAAUAAGUUUAUAUUGCAACAUGGAACGAAAAAGACAAUAUACAGGAUGAGUAGAUUGGAUAGAGGGAGCCCUUACCUUAGCUUAAUCUAAGGCCUGAAACUACGAGAUAUAAAAUGAUCCACUAAUCCUAUGGAUCCUUAGGAUUAAUUAUGGAUUGGAUCCAAAAAUAAAGAAAUAUUGAGUUGUUUCGUCUUCGUUCUAUUUAGAUCUUGUAUAUACUUGUAUAUUGUAUAUACUUGUAUAUAUAGUAUAUAGGUCUGUACAUGUGAUAUGAAAGAUAUAUGCAAAUAUAUAGUAUGUUAUGUUAGUAAGCUCAUUCUUUAUUUUAUUCGGCUCAAUCCUUUUUUUUAGGAAAAGAUUGGGCCGAGUUUAAUUGCAAUCAAUUAGGAGAACAAAGAGGAAUUACUAAACUCUACACGCUUAGUUUUUAUCUUUCUAUUUCGUUUUAUCUAGCUUAUCUACCGGUUCGAAGUCGAAUUUAAUCUGUUUCCAUACUUCACAAGCAGCGGCUAGCUCAGGGCUCCAUUUGCUAGCUUCACGGAUAAUUUCAGCACCUUCACGAGCAAGAUCACGUCCUUCAUUACGAGCUUGUACACACGCUUCUAAAGCCACCCGAUUAGCUACUGCACCAGGUGCAUUUCCCCAAGGGUGCCCUAAAGUUCCUCCACCAAACUGUAGUACGGAAUCAUCUCCAAAGAUUUCGGUAAGAGCAGGCAUAUGCCAAACAUGAAUACCCCCUGAAGCCACAGGUAUAACACCUGGCAUAGAGACCCAAUCUUGAGUGAAAAAGAUACCACGACUACGGUCUUUUUCAAUAAAAUCAUCACGUAAUAAAUCAACAAAACCCAAAGUCAUCUCGCGUUCCCCUUCCAGUUUACCUACUACUGUACCAGCGUGAAUAUGAUCUCCACCAGACAUACGUAAUGCUUUAGCUAGUACACGAAAAUGCAUACCAUGAUUUUUCUGUCUAUCAAUAACUGCAUGCAUUGCGCGAUGGAUGUGAAGAAGUAGGCCAUUGUCGCGGCAAUAAUGAGCCAAACUAGUAUUUGCAGUGAAUCCCCCAGUUAAGUAAUCAUGCAUUACGAUAGGAACUCCCAAUUCUCUGGCAAAUACGGCCCUUUUGAUCAUUUCUUCACAUGUACCCGCAGUAGCAUUUAAGUAAUGUCCUUUGAUUUCACCCGUUUCGGCCUGCGCUUUAUAAAUUGCUUCGGCACAAAAUACGAAACGGUCUCUCCAACGCAUAAAUGGUUGUGAGUUCACGUUUUCAUCAUCUUUGGUAAAAUCAAGCCCACCGCGUAGACAUUCAUAAACCGCUCUACCGUAGUUCUUUGCGGAUAAUCCCAAUUUUGGUUUAAUAGUACAUCCCAAUAGAGGACGACCAUACUUGUUCAACUUAUCUCUUUCAACUUGGAUGCCAUGAGGCGGGCCUUGGAAAGUUUUUGAAUAAGAAGUGGGAAUUCGCAGAUCCUCCAGACGUAGAGCUCGUAGGGCUUUGAAACCAAAUACAUUACCUACAAUGGAAGUAAACAUGUUAGUAACGGAACCUUCUUCAAAAAGGUCUAAAGGAUAAGCUACAUAAGCAAUAUAUUGAUUUUCCUCCCCGACAACGGGCUCGAUGUGGUAGCAUCUUCCUUUGUAACGAUCAAGACUGGUAAGUCCAUCAGUCCAAACAGUUGUCCAUGUACCAGUAGAAGACUCGGCUGCUACCGCAGCCCCUGCUUCUUCAGGCGGAACUCCGGGUUGAGGAGUUACUCGGAAUGCUGCCAAGAUAUCAGUAUCUUUGGUUUCGUAUUCAGGAGUAUAAUAAGUCAAUUUGUAAUCUUUAACACCAGCUUUAAAUCCAACACUUGCUUUAGUCUCUGUUUGUGGUGACAUAAGUCCCUCCCUACAACUCAUGAAUUAAGAAUUCUCACAACAACAAGGUCUACUCGAUAUGGAUUAGGCAUGAAUGAAACCUUUAACAAAAAUCUUUCAAAAAAUAUUCAAUAUUCAAUUAAUAUUAUCAACUCAUUAAAAUGUUAUGUUAAAACGGUUUGUUAUUAGACCAUGUAUUUGAUUCACCAAAUACAUCAUUAUUGUAUACUCUUUGAUAUAUAUAGCGCAACCCAACCCAAUCCUAAUCUUUGUUUUGCAGGUUUAUAAUUGAAUUGAUCCCUUUCUUAUUUUGAAUCUAAAUAUCUAAAUACUGAGAAAAAUUCCCCCUUGACAGUAAUAUAUGUUGUAUAUGUAAAUCCUAGAUGUGAAAAUAGGCAUAAUUCAUCCACGAAAGGGUAUAAUAUAAAGACGGAAAUCUAUAUGAAAAAUCCAAAAUAAAGAACAAAGGCCAAUAAGAUCCAAAUAAUAAAUCAUAAAUCGAGUUCGGGUUCGAAUUCCAUAAGUAAUAUAAUAUGGAUCUUUUUUUAUAUAAUGAUAGAGAAAUGAAACACAUUUAUUCACGAUUUCGUCUACUUGCAAU